UCGAGUUAAUAUUAUACUUCUAUUAAGUAUAAAAUAAGUUUUUGUAGUAUCCACUAGUGUAAAUACUUUAAAUUAAAGAUCAAAUUUAUUCAUUACAUUCUUAUAGGGUCGAGGAGUGUAUCUGUAAAAAAUCAUCAAAAUCGGAGAUAAAAUAACCGUUAAAUUUUGAUUUUUCGUUUAUAACCAUCGAAAAGUUUUGUUCCAUUACGUAAUCUCUGAAUGUUUGUUUUUUAUGAUUUUUUAUGUAUGCGAUCUCAGAAUGUGUACAAAUAAGUUUGAUGGUUGGAUCGUUGAAAAAAGUUUUGUAGAAUGCAUAUUGCGUCAAAACAGUAGAUUAAACAAACACUUAGAGUUAAUAUUAUACUUCUAUUAAGUAUAAAAUAAGUUUUUGUGGUAUCCACUAGUGUAAAUACUUUAAAUUAAAGAUCAAAUUUAUUCAUUACAUUCUUAUAGGGUCAAGGAGUGUAUCUGUAAAAAAUCAUCAAAAUCGGAGAUAAAAUAACCGUUAAAUUGUGAUUUUUCGUUUAUAACCGUCAAAAACUUUUGUUCCAUUACGUAAUCUCUGAAUGUUUGUUUUUUACGAUUUUUUACGUAUGCGAUCUCGGAAUGUGUACAAAUACGUUUGACGGUUGGAUCAUUGAAAAAAGUUUCGUAGAAUGCAUAUUGCGUCAAAACGGUAGAUUAAACAAACACUUAGAGUUAAUAUUAUACUUCUAUUAAGUAUAAAAUAAGUUUUUGUAGUAUCCACUAGUGUAAAUACUUUAAUUAAAGAUCAAAUUUAUUCAUUACAUUCUUAUAGGGUCGAGGAGUGUAUCUGUAAAAAAUCAUCAAAAUCGGAGAUAAAAUAACCGUUAAAUUGUGAUUUUUCGUUUAUAACCGUCGAAAACUUUUGUUCCAUUACGUAAUCUCUGAAUGUUUGUUUUUUACGAUUUUUUACGUAUGCGAUCUCGGAAUGUGUACAAAUAAGUUUGACGGUUGGAUCGUUGAAAAAAGUUUCGUAGAAUGCAUAUUGCGUCAAAACGGUAGAUUAAACAAACACUUAGAGUUAAUAUUAUACUUCUAUUAAGUAUAAAAUAAGUUUUUGUGGUAUCCACUAUUGUAAAUACUUUAAAUUAAAGAUCAAAUUUAUUCAUUACAUUCUUAUAGGGUCGAGGAGUGUAUCUGUAAAAAUUCAUCAAAAUCGGAGCUAAAAUAACCGUUAAAUUGUGAUUUUUUGUUUAUAACCGUCGAAAACUUUUGUUCCGUUACGUAAUCUCUGAAUGUUUGUUUUUUACGAUUUUUUACGUAUGCAAUCUUGGAAUGUGUACAAAUAAGUUUGACGGUUGGAUCGUUGAAAAAAGUUUUUGGACCGCCAGCAAUAGAUAGUUUUGUAGUAGUGAAACCUUAAAUUUAUUUAACCAUCGAUUGUCAUUUACGCUUUAUUCUUCUUAUUGAAUUUCAUUUUUAAAAUUUUAUUUUUUGAAAACAUGAUCAUCUGGCGGAUGUAAGAAGAUGAUAUCACGUUUCGAUAUUUACGAUUAACUGAAAUAUGAGUCAAUGUCAUAUAAUUUGUAGAAACUUUAUAAACAUCAAGCAAUAUUUUCACUAACCGUAAAACUCUAAAUAUAAUAUCAACAAUCCAAACCGUUCAUCUACCUGCACCCUCUAAUAGAUCAUGUUUUCAAAAAAGAAAAUCUGAAAAAACGAAAUUUGAUGAGAACAAUGAAGCAUAAAUGUAAACAACAAUCAACGGUUACAUUUUGAUCUAUGAAUUAUAUGAUUAUAGUGGCGAAUUUCGAAGUUAAGCUCUUCAUGAAAGUUAUAAAGCUUGUCAUUACGAGUGUUUAUAUAUUUUUUUCUAUAUUUUUUUACACUUCUACAUUAAUUAAAAAACUAUUAAAGACUUUAGGUAAGCGAAAAUAUACUUAAAACAAAAUUGUGUUUUUAUGUUUUGGAUGUGAUAAUAUGGAAUAUAUAUACUUAUUUAGUAUGAUGUUUUUCAUUUGAUUAUUUAUUGGUUUAAAAUAUAUUUUCCUUAACGGGUAACGGGUCGGGUCAUAUUACCUGUUAAUAUUAUCGGGUCGAUUUCGGGUCGGGUCAUUUUACCCGUUUAUUUUAACGGGUGUUACACGACACGACACGACCCGUUAAGAUAUCAGGUAUGACACGAAAACGACACGAACACGGAAAACACGACACGAAUGCCAAGUCUAGUUUGAGUACUGGCAAGUUUGAAAAGUUUCGUCAUCAACUCAGCAUGGAGAAAAGAAUGAGCUGGUGUUGAGGGGGAGUGUUAAAAGAGCCCAACCCCAGCCCAUUCCACACAAAUCCAAGCACCAAAGUCGGCGCAGCAUGCAGACAUGUCAAUAUGCUAGAUAAUUCUAGCAUUAUCUUAUUAAGUCGGUGGAUGUGUGUGUAUAAUCAUGUGCUAGAAAGCUCUAGCAGCUUGUACAAUUGUGUGGCUGCCAUGCAAAGCCCAAAGGCGAUGGGCAAUUGUAGUCGGCAAACACCACCUAUAAAUAGGUGUGUGAUGUUGUGAAAGCAAUCAACAAACAAGAAAGAAGUAAUCAAGCAAGCAAGCAACCAAGUGAGAGUGAGAAGUAAGAGUAGUCUUGUGAGGAGGAGUGUGAGUGAUUUAGAGUUUGUCUCUAGAAAGUGAGUGAGUGUCAUUGCUUCUAAAGUGUGUCUUUAUGUCCUUUUGAGUGUUGUAAUAUUUUGUGUGUGUAAUACAAGUAAUUUGUUUACUUGUGUACUCUAAGUUUUUCCUCAACAAUUGCAGCCAAUGUAUUCUACUGUGAUGGAUCGCAGGCAAUCUGGACUGAGUUACGCGAAUGUUUCUCCUAGGUAAACAACGUUCAACUCUUCCAUAUUGAGAAUGAAAUGCAUGAUUAUGUUCAAUUCUUCAACACAUGAUGAACUUUCAGGUAAGGCUUUCUGUUUCUCUUCUCAGGGUAAGAAAGCCACAUGGAUCCUCGAUAGCGGGGCGACUGAUCAUAUCGUUUGUAGCCCUAAAUUACUUACAACUUGGAAAGCUGUUAAAAAUAAGACAGUGGAAUUACCAGAUGGCUCCCUUGCUAAUGUUACACAUGUUGAUGAACCACAAAUCAGAAACUCAAACUCAUCUCACUAAUUUCAUUAGCAUGGUUGAAACACAAUUUUCUUCCAAAAUUAAGGUUGUGCGUAGUGAUAAUGGCCCUGAAUUCACAGUGAAAACCUAUUACUUGUCCAAAGGUAUUCUUCACCAAACUAGUUGCAUUCAUACCCCACAACAAAACGGAGUCGCUGAACACAAACAUACACUUACUCAACAUGGCACGAGCUUUGCUUUUUCAAGCCCACCUUCCUAAACAGUUUUGGGGGGACUCCAUUUUAACUGCAACUUAUCUCAUAAAUCGCACACCCACACCAGUUUUGAAGGGUAAAACACCUUAUCAGCGGUUGUUCAAUGUCACACCUACUUACUCACAUUUAAGGAUAUUUAGGUGUUUGUGUUUUACUUCCACUCAUGCUCAAAAGCCAUCCAAAUUUGAUGCACGUGCAACUAGGUGCAUUUUUCUUGGUUAGCCUUAUGUGAAAAAGGGAUAUCAAGUAUAUGAUAUAGAACUUCGCAAGGUGUUUGUGUCUCGGGACGUCACUUUCUUCGAACAUGAAUUUCCCUUUAAACACACUUCCGCUGCCAAUAAGAGUCCUACAAUUUCCUCUCCCAUGGACCCCACCUUUGAUGAUGAUCCUGUCACACCCAUACCACAAAACAACACCGAUACUUCUCCUCUAGAAAAUCCUAAACCAAUUACUACCGAAAUCGAAACACCAUCUUCUGUUUCUUCACAACCAAUGCUUCCUCCACAUCCUCCAACACCUCUUAUGCAUCGCCAUUCUAAUCGACCAACCACACGGCCUGCCUUCCUCCAAGAUUUUCAUGUGGAAGCAACCCUCCCAUCAAGGCUUGGACAGUCAUUCGCCUCUAGCGUGGUCACCAAAUCAAGUACCCCAUAUUCUCUAUCCCAAGUUCUUUGCUAUGAUCGAUUGUCAUCUUCACAUAGAGCUUUCACCACAUCAUUAACUGUUGUCAAAUAACCAACUAGUUUCUUACAGGCCAUGAAAGAUUCUCGUUGGCGUCAAGCUAUGCAUGAUGAGAUUAAAGCAUUGCAAGCGAAUCAAACAUGGACCCUUGUUCAUCUGCCACGGGACAAGAAACCUAUUGGGUGUAAAUGGGUUUACAAAGUGAAGCUCAAACCUGAUGGGACUGUUGAGCAUUACAAAGCUCGUUUGGUUGCCAAAGGUUAUAGCCAAAUUGAAGGACUCAAUUAUCGAGAGACUUUUGCACCGGUUGCUAAACUGACUACUGUGCGUCUCCUACUUAGUGUUGCCGCCAUUCAAGGAUGGCAUCUUCAUCAACUUGAUGUCAACAAUGCAUUCUUGCAUGGUGACCUUGAUGAGAAUAUUUACAUGUCUCUACCACCUGGAUUCAGACGAAAGGGGGAGACUCAAGUGUGCAAACUUAACAAAUCAUUAAAUGGUUUGAAACAAGCUUCCAGGCAGUGGUUUUUGAAAAGUUAUUGAAUAUUUUGAAAAGUUAUUCACCAAAUAUUUUCUCUUGAAUUGUAAUUAAUAUAAAAUGCAUUAUGAUUUGAUUUCUAGCUGGUUAGGGGUUUUACCAUUGUGAUUGGCUGCUUGCUUUACAACUUCUGUUUGUUUUACUGUUUCCUGAGCUUUUCAAUAAAUAAAUCUGGCUCUUUUCAAUUUAUACGAUAAGACGGUAAGGGUGUGUUUGUUAGGGAUGAUUGGGUUGGAUAGGAUAAUUGCUAGAUUCAAGGAAUAUCCAAGUUGAAGGUAGAAGACAAGUUACUCAUGAAGGAAAGUUGUCCAUUCGAAUACCCGCAAAAAGGUAGGAUUAGAUGGGGUAACUUUCCUCUCUGAUCAUCGUCUUCAACAUUCGACUUCGACAAAUUUGGGAGUUGCGUUCCAUUUUCCCCUUGAAUAUGCCUUGAAUCUAGUGAGUUAUGCUACCCAAGCUAAUCCUCCCUAACAAACGCACCCAAACAGUUUCCACGAGCGGUUUUCUUGACAAAACUUUCUUUUAGCACCGUGGAGGUAAGGGGGGUGUAUUCAAUUGAGAAUGUGAGAGAUUUUAAUGGAUUUAUAAAUCCAUGGAUUUUUAUGGAGUUUAAUUGAUUUGUAGAGAUUCCAUAUAAAAUUUUGAUUCAAUUCCCUCGAAAUCUCAUAGGAAGAGGUGAGAUUUGUGAAUGCUUAAAAUACACUACGAAAUCUCUUCAAUUCCCUCUAAUUCCUCAACUUUCUCAAAUUCUUUAAAAUCAAUUUCUAAUUGAAUACACCUGGAAUGUUAUAAACUUCUUUAAAAUCUUAAUUGAAUACACCUAGAUUUAUAAGGAUUUUAAUAAACUAUUUUAAAAUUCUAAUUGAAUACACCUAGAAUUUCAGAGAAUCACUUAAAAUCAUGAUUGAAUACCCCUAGAUUCAUUAAAAGAAUUAAAAUCCCCUAAAAUCCCAAUUGAAUACACCCCCCUAAAUCUAUGAUAUCCAACGAGGAGGAAUUGUACCAAUACUUGUGGAUGCAGUCUAUCUGUAGUGACUUGAAGUUCUAUCUUAACUUCACAUCUUGUUUGUUCCCUUGGCUUAUGCAUAUGAGAUUUUUUUGCAUUAGGUUCUUGAAACAAGGAAAUAUAACCGAAAACAGAAGUUUCAAUCUUUUUCUGUCAACAUAACUAGUUAAAGGAAAUCGAUUUGUCUCUAUGUUAGGUGGUCUUAGAAACAGUGGCUUAAGAGGUAUAAGAUUUGUCUCUGUAUUUCUCUCCACAUCAAAGCAUUCUUUAUAUUUAAGAUCAAUUAAGUGUCGAAUUAUAUCUUUUGAGGUGAAACUGUGGAUGCCAAUUAAGGUAGCUUAUGCAUAUGAGAUUCGUUAAACAAGGAAACAUGACCUUAAACAGAAAUUGCCGUCUUUUUCUUUAAACACAGGUAAUGGAAGGAAAUUUUGACACUUUCAGCUAUCUUAGGUGGUCUUUACAAACAGUUGCUUAGGAGGUAUAUGAUUCGUCUCUAUCUUUAUUUCUUUCCUUACAAAACCGUUCUUUGUAUUAAAAUCGAUUACCAUGAUUCCAUCUUGUGUCUCUACUUGGCAUAAAUUACAUCUACUUCUUUUGAACAGUUUGAAAGACUUGCCAGUUAUAUCUACUUCUUUUGAAUUGAAACUGUGGAUGAUGAUAAAGGAGGUUGAAUGUUAGAUUUCAGUUUGUGGAUUUUUCAAUGAAUUGCUCCUGGUGCUUAUUUACCUGAUCAACCUUUCAAUUGUACUUUUGUUAUCAGAGGCUUGCCAUGUUACCAUAAAUUUGAAUUUGGGCUGAUGAUGUGCAUCGUAAUCGCUAGGUGAUGAAUCUGACGGGUAUAUUGAAUCCAUUUUUUAAUUGCUGUCAUGGGAACCGGGUGUGGUAAUCUGAGGUCACAUUCACUAGUUAUGACCUUACUCAGAGCAUUCUCUUCCAGCUAUCCUUUUUUAUUCUUCAUACAUAUUUCCUCCUAUAUGCCUUAUCCAUAAAAGCGGACACCUCCGGUUGUUUAUAGCCAAAAGUUCUGUAAUUGAUGCAACACCUUUCACUACAUCAGUGUCAAACCGACACAGAAGAGUACAUGGAUUUUAAGGCCUCCUAGUCAAGUUGAAUUUUCCACAUUUGGAGCAUGUAAGCUGUCCUUUUCGUAGCAUUUGCAUUCUGAAAGCUGGUAUACGUUUACAUCAUGAAUUAUACUCGGAAUUCUGCGGUUUCAAGUGACCACAGGUUUUUGUGGUUUGCGGCCUCAGAUUACGGAUUGACUUGAACACUUGUGGUUUUGGUUCACCAGAUCACGAAAAGAAUGCAAAGGAAUGACUUCACAAGGACUAGAGAUUUAAAUGACUUCACAAGCUCUUGACCUCUUCAUGCAUACGGUGGUUCUGCAUAAUUGUUGAGAAAGUCUACUUAUGUGGAAGAAUGGUCAAAGUUUUAAAUUUCAAUUCAGGUUUUUCCUAGAACAUGCCAAUGCAUAUUAUAAUUUCCUUGACCAGGUCCGCGUGGAAGAUGGCAAGGAAACUGCUUCGCAUAUUGUCAAGUCGAGAAAAGAGGCCUUAUCAUAAGUUCAUAACACAAGAGAUGGAUCAGUCGUUGACAUUUAAUCUCUCAGCAGCUCAUCCUUUUUAGUAAUCGAACGAUCAUGGAUUCAACGACCAAUGAAGGAGCCUCUUCCUCUUCGUCUUCUUCUUACAUCCAUUCAUGGACACAGUGGCGAAGCUAGAAAUUUUCAGAGGGAGGGGCGAAAUUUAAAAGCGUAAACCGUUCAAAGCAAUGUAGCUUACCUUUUAGAUAGUACACAAUAUUAAUAUCGUUCAUUAUUUAUCAAUAUAAACAAAUUACAAUUGUUGCCAAUGAGGUUUCAUGCUACGAAAAUGUCACAUCUAGGCUCAUUACCAAUAAAAGAAAAAACAUCUCUCUCAAUUAAAUCUUAAGGAUGAAAUUUAGCAAAACAAAUUAUUUUUUGUUGUUGGUCAAAAGAUGCAAAAUUAUUUACCGAAUUCAAAUAUGCCCUACAAAGAAGCAACUCAAUGUUUAUCUCAUUGAAGCGAUCAUUCAAUUCUUUGAGUUGCAUAUGAAGGACCUGAAAAUAGAGGUCCACACGAUAGUAAUGGAAGUUUAUAAGUCUUUGAGCUUUAUGUUUUGAUUUUCUGAGUAUAAAAUGCAAAUCCUCAAUAUUAGGAACAUUAAUAUUAUUUUUCUCACAAAUUUUUAUACAUUAUGAAACAAAUUCUCAAAGUAAUCAUCUCUCAAGGAUUGAAAAAAAAAUGAAAUAAUUUAAAUUCUGGAAACAUAACAAGAAUUAAAAAAGACCAAUAGUAAGCAUCAACCUCUUGUUUUUCUUUAGUCUAAACAAAUGAAAGAGAGGAAAGAGAAUUGAAAUGGUGGAAACAAUAAUCAAUUAAAAGCAUAGUCCGGUUGGAAAAAAGUCCACAUCAAUAUAAAAUAAAAAAAUAAAAAAGAAAUUAAAGGAUCCCACCGUCAAACCGCACCGUUUAGUUAAAAGUAACCAAGUUUUAUGACUAAUAACCAAAAACAGGCAAACGACGCUGUGUGGUUUGAAACAAAAUUAGGUCGUCUUCUUCCCUUGAAAUCAUUAAAACCCAACGGUGCAUUGUAAGAUUGUGAAUGAUAAUGAAUGUUGUAUUGGAUCGUUUUGUUGUAAGCCACUUGUCUAUCAAGUUGUUAGCAACCAAAGUGAUCCGAUAGUCCUAACAUAAUAAGGAUUAUGGAGUCUAAACCUUUGCAAUUGACUUAAAGAAAUCUGAUGGAUUUCACUACAAAGAUAUAGUAUCAUGGUGGGACUUAAAUACUUAAGUGAUAGGAUUUGAUUUUCACAACCAAUAAUAGGCCGGCUGUGAUUAAACCCUAAUGAUAUAAAUACUAUGGUUAAGUCCCUGCUUCCAUACGCUCAAUCUCUAAAAAUACGCUAAACCCUAUUCACAGCAGAGAGAUAUUUUGAAGUACUGGAAGUAGAAGACGACCAAGAACUCUGCAAUGUCUUCCGUAUUCUACAAAUAAGUUUAAUAUAAUUAGUCGAUCUCUAUUUUAUAUAUUGAUUUGAUUUAUUCGUGAUCCUAAUGUCUUGUUGUUGUGAUUUCAGAAUAUGUCUUACAUGUGGUAUCAGAGCCGCACAACAAGCUUAGGGUCCGAUAUAAAGGUAUAAGCAAAUUUGUUUAUUGAAGAUGAUUCACAUACUAAAGAAAAUUUGCUUAUCGUUUUGGUUGGAUGCCUUCUACUGUUCCAUCUCAUGAAAAUUUGUUUUGAUGCUUCCGCAAUUUUGUGUUGGUAUGCAAUCAUUUUCAUGGUUAAUAACAUAUGGAUUGGUCUAGGGGUGACUAUGCAUACUGCUGCCUUUAAAUAGUUUUCAUGAAAUUUAAUUAUUUAUUUUUCUUGUUGGCUCUCAUUUAAUUAUUAAGAGUGGGUUUGUUUUGGUUUGAUUAAUCGUGCUCUUGUGAUAUGAUUCUGGGGUUUUUCUUGCUUCCGCGGUUUUUUUUUUUUUUCUUCUUGAAUGGAUAUGUUAACCUUGUAUUGCCGAGAAGAUUGUGUCAUCUAUGUUGUGUUUUCUGCAAAAUUUUUCUUGCAAUUUUUUUUUAUCACGUUUACCUGGGCAUCAAGAUAAACUGAAAUUAGGUAUACAACUCCAACUAGGUUUGUUGUAUGCGACUUUAUGGACUGCUAUUUGAUAAUUAUGAAUUGAUAAUUCAUAAAUAUAUAUAUAUAUAUAUAUAUAUAUAUAUGCAAGGUCACUAUUGUUUUCGGUGAACGAUGACCUAAUCUUAUCUUGGGUAAUAUUUUGAUUUAUUAUAUAAUUUUCUGAUUAUUAAUUUAGUUGAUAAAUAUUACCGGUUCCUAUUUGAUUAAAAAAAAAAAAAAAAAAAAAAAAAAAAAAGGAAAGGGUUAAAACAUGCGAACAGUAAAGAAUUUCUCCCCCGUGUGAGGGUUUCUGUUCAUCAAUGCCUAGCUUACACCAACCUCCUUCAAUCACUGUAAUGCUCGAAUUGAAGCUUGAAAUUUCGGGGUAUUCAUGCGAAGGUAUGAAACUGCUUUUCAUAAAUUAUUGCAAUUUGGUUGAAUUGAAAUUAAGCUUUUGGUUCCAAUCGAAUUGAUUUUGUGAUAUUAUAAUUGAGAAGUUGAAAACUAUCAUGUUGUUUCUGAGCAAAUAUAGUGUUUUCAUUUGGGAUUAAUUCAAUUUUGCAGUUUUCGACUCUUAUCCUUAUAGUGCAUAUGCAAAUGAAUAAGUAAGUUUUAGUUCUUGGUUAUUUCUCUAUGAAGUGAUAGUCGCUUCUAUUAUUGCAAUGAAUAUUACUUUUAGUAUUCUUUGAAAUCGAUUGUCCGUUUCAAUUAUGACAUAGAAAAGAAUAAACAUUCCUUAAGUGUUUUUAUGUGACUGAUGUAAUUUUGAUAUGAAAAUCAUUCAGAUCAAUAAUUUCCGUUUGAUAAGACUUCCCUAACAUCAAUAACAUAUAAUAUUUUGUCAUGUAAAUGGAUUUUAGACGCUGGUAUUUUUUCACGUUUUUUGGACCAGAAAUGGAUUUAUGGUAAAUUUUUAAGUGUGAUACCUUAGUGUUGGAAUUCUGCAGACUUCCGCAGAAUAGUCUGCUUGUGAUAUUAUUUUGAAAUAUCUAUGUGACUCAUAAAUUCAUGAAAUUUUAGUAUGAUAUACAUUGAGAUAUUUAUUUCAAAUCUGGAAAUUUUGACGAGCAUUGGUUUAAAAAUGAAUUAUUGGUGAAUUUUUAAUCUCGGGACUGUCUUGCAGAAUUUAUGAGGUUUCUGCAGAAAAUUCCAUUUCGAUUUUAUUUUUAGCCCACUUUUUAAAAUCGCAUAAAUCAUGGAAUUUUUGGGUAACAAUAAAUUUACAUGUCUACUUUAUUUCUGCAAAUUUUCAUACACAUUGGAGGAAGAUUGAAGUUUUGGUGAAUUAUUUAGUCUCGGGUAUGUACUGAACAUUUUCUGCUGUUUCUGCAGCACCUCUCUUUUCAAAUUCAUUUUUGGCUCGCUUAUAAGAUUUUAAAAAUCAUGAAAUUUUGCAAAAUAGUAGUCAUAUAUGUCUAGUUCAUACUUGAAAAUUUUCAUGACAAUCUAAAGAGAAUUGAGUUUUUAGUGAAUUUGCAAACUAAAGUAGUACUGCUGAAUUUUGGUACUUCAAACUAGUUUUGUUAUGUGAUAUUGUUUGACUGAUUUGUGUACAUCAAUUGGUACCAAUUAUUGUACAAGUUUAUGGUUCCAAUAUGUCCUUAUGUUAUGCAAAUUCUCAAUACUAAUGAAUUUUAUAAACAACACUGAUUAAAUUUUGAUUUAAAGAUGUAUUGGUUUGUUUUGUUUAAACCAAUGUUUUGUUUGGUCUUCAAUUCUGAUUAUGAUGAUAAUUGUCUUUUGAGAAAAUUGGAAAGUGGAAUUAGUUUACUAAUUGAUCAUUUUGGUCCCUAUCGAAUAACUGAAUAACCAUGUUUCUUCUUUUGAGAACUCUAUUGUUCAAUGUCAACAACGACAUACUUUUUGUGUCUGAUUGAAUCUUUUGAGAAUCAUUGAAUAUCCAAACAAAACGGUUAUUUUAAUACUGUUCUAAAAGAUUAUUUUGAAAAAUCAGAAUUCUAAUUUAUAUGGUGAAUACUUUUGUCCCAAUGGGAAAUUCAGGAAAUCACUCACCAAUUAUAAAUUAGUAUUAUAACAAAUCAUAAAAUACUUUUAACAUAUGUUCAUCUAGCCAAAGCUGUUGAAGCUAUAUGUAUUUUGUGUAUUUUAUGUUUUGGCUAGCUAUGCAGGUAUUUUAUUUGCAUGAUUAGUUUCUGCCCAAAGGUGUAACAAUCAUGCAAAUUGGAGUUGGUUCGAUCCUCCACAACUCAACUACUUCCAUGAUGAAUCUUGCAGAAUCGAGAAUGAGUAGGUAAAUUUUGCCAAUCUUUUGCCUUAAUUUUUCAGUGAAUUCUAAAUUGGAUUAAAAUUAUUGUUGAAAAAGUUGAUGUUGUUGAGAUAUCUAUGUGUUUACUUUUAUCGACUUUGUUUUAGAAUUAAAACAUAAAUUUUGAGUUUGGAUUCUCUUAUUAGGUUUCAUUUUACUUUAUGACCUAAUCUUUAACACAUAUGUGGGUCUUCUCUCAUACACUAAAAUAAAUUUUGUAGCCAUUGGUUUAUCUAAUCACUUGUCACUUUUAGAUCGAUUAAUAAUGUUGAGAUAUUGUUCCUUUUAUAAGCCUAAUUUUGAUACAUGGAUACAUAUAGAUUGGUUUUAUUAUGUCCAAACCAACUAUUUUGUGACUCAACAAAUUUGUGUAAGAAAUUUUAAUGUUUUGGGCAUAUUAGAGGUUAUUUAUCUAAUGAAAUGAACCUUUAAUUUAUUUAAGAAAUUUUUGUUUGUGUUUUGAGCAUAUUAAAGAUUGUAAAUUGGUUUUUAUUUAAAUUAUGAUUAAAUCUAAAAUUUUGGUAGAGCUUGGGAAAUACUGAUGGAGUUUUUUACAUACCUUGCAACAAAUCCUAUUUGAUUACAAUUUUUGAUAAAUUUUCUAACUCCAAACUUUGUAAAAAAUUUGUCAUCUCUUAUAUUAUUAAUGGAUUGUGUACACUAUCUUUAUUGAUUCAACUAGCCUAUAUUUUGUUAUAUGAAAAACCACUUUCUCUAGUGUUUAAUCUUGCAAUUUUGAGUGUUUUGCCCAAGUGGGAGAAAUAAUGUAUUAUGGGCUUCACACUCAUCAAUUUUGCAUGCUUUUAAUGAUCAUAGUUUUGGUAGAUAAAACGUACAUUAUCAUACUUGUUUAUAUUUUAUUUGUUACAUAUGCAACUAAUCUUGUAAGAAAUUCAAGAAGGGUUAAUGAGUAUAUUCUGCUCAAAAGUGUUUUGCUUAUUAAUUCUUGUAUGUUGUUCAAGAAAUUGAACUUGUGAUUUAUAUGUUAUUGAUGAAUAAUUAAUCUGCUCAAAAGUGUUUUCUUAUUCAGUACAACUAUAAAUCAAUGUAUAGUGAAGCAUGGAAUUGACAAGAUUGUAUAUACUUCAUCUGCUCAAAAGUGUUGAAGCUAUAUAUGUUUGCCCUUGUAUUUUAUGUUUUAGCUAUGCAAACCUAAUAUAAUUAGUUUCUGUCCAAAGAUGAUUCUAGAAUUAUAUGCUUUUGAUGCAUUAGAAAACAUUCAGUUAAAGUUUUCUAUUUCUGUCAAUUGUUAGAUGAACAAAACUGACCAAAUAAUUUUGUAUAGUUUUUCAGUCAUGAGAAUCACUUCCCUACAAAUAUCUAAAAUAAAGAUGUUGAGCUCAUAAAUUUUAUGUUUUAGAUCCCAUGACUAAUGUUUUGCUAAUGGGAGUAUUUGAAAGGUGUCUGUUUCAUUUUAUAGGCAUUUAUAAAGUUUUUUUUUACUCUCUUAAUCAGUGGGAGUAAUAAUUUGUUUAUCUCUACUAAUCAGUGGGAGUAAGAGAUUACCUUUUGUGUUAAAAAUUUGAAGUGUUAGUGGCUGAUAUUUUAAGAGUAAAUUUUGUUUAAGUUUUGUUCAUAAGUUUUAAUAAGAGGUUCUCAUUUUGUAAAUAGUAUGCCGUAUUUUACUCGUUCUCUUAUCAUAUUCUAAAUUGACAGAAAAGUUGGAUGUUGUUACCAACGUUGUUGAGUUCUUUUAUGAACUACUUUUGUACUGAAAUAUAUUUUCAUAUUUUCAGUUCGACUAUUGUGAGCUAAUGUUUUGACUAUUAGCUCUUGACACCAUGACUUAGAUAGCAACAAAGUGCUUUAAGUUGAAUGUGUAUGUGAUCUUGGAGUGCAAGGAACAGACCAAAUUGUUCUUUGUUUUCUUUGGUUCUGCAUUCGAUUCAAAGUGACAGGUUGCUAGGAAAGGUUUAUUGCAUACUUAUGAAGACUCAGUGAUCACCAUGAGUUCUUAUUUUGUUAGGAUGAAUCAUUGACAUUCAAGUGGGAGAAUGUAAGAUUGUGAAUGAUAAUGAAUGUUGUAUUGGAUCGUUUUGUUGUAAGCCACUUGUCUAUCAAGUUGUUAGCAACCAAAGUGAUCCGAUAGUCCUAACAUAAUAAGGAUUAUGGAGUCUAAACCUUUGCAAUUGACUUAAAGAAAUCUGAUGGAUUUCACUACAAAGAUAUAGUAUCAUGGUGGGACUUAAAUACUUAAGUGAUAGGAUUUGAUUUUCACAACCAAUAAUAGGCCGGCUGUGAUUAAACCCUAAUGAUAUAAAUACUAUGGUUAAGUCCCUGCUUCCAUACGCUCAAUCUCUAAAAAUACGCUAAACCCUAUUCACAGCAGAGAGAUAUUUUGAAGUACUGGAAGUAGAAGACGACCAAGAACUCUGCAAUGUCUUCCGUAUUCUACAGAUAAGUUUAAUAUAAUUAGUCGAUCUCUAUUUUAUAUAUUGAUUUGAUUUAUUCGUGAUCCUAAUGUCUUGUUGUUGUGAUUUCAGAAUAUGUCUUACAUGCAUCACACCAAACCCAAAUACCCGUCGGUUCAGAAGAUCGGAGGAGCGGAAUCCUCACUCUCAAUGGUGAUUUCCGACGACCGUAAGGGCUGGAUUUUCCAGCAAGGGGAGGGCCUGAACCUGCGCUCCAGCUGUGUUUUCCGGCGAGGGGAGGGGCGGCCGCCACUCCUCGCCCUCACGUGGCUUCGCCACUGCAUGGACAUAUGAUGUCUUCCUCAGUUUUAGAGGAGAGGAUACCCGCAACAAUUUUGUAGGUCAUCUGUACAAGAAUUUGGUUCAGAAGGGAAUCAAAACCUUCAUAGACGAAGAGGCGCUUCAAAGAGGAGAGGAAAUAUCGUUGGCGCUUCUCAAAGCAAUCGAGCAAUCGAGGAUUUCUCUUGUUGUCUUCUCAGAAAACUACGCUUCCUCACACUGGUGCUUAGAUGAACUCGUUCACAUCUUUCACUGUAAAGAACAACUGCAGCAGAUGGUUUUUCCAGUUUUUUACAAGGUGGAUCCAUCGGAUGUGAGGAGGCAAAGAAAGAGUUUCGGUAAGGCACUUGCUGACCAUGAAAGCAAACUCAAAGAUAACAUGGACAAGGUGUUGAGAUGGAGAGAAACUCUUACGAAAGCAGCAAAUUUGUCUGGCUGGUCAUUCCAGGCAGACGGGUAUUUUUCUGACCUCUAUGUACAAAUAAACUUCAAUUCAUAAGCAUAAUAUGAAGGCUUUUUAGCCAAAAUGGUUUUUCUGAGAUGAGCAUAACUCUUUACUUUGUUCUUCAAGAUUUAAAAUCGAUAGAAGUGGUUCUUGAGAUUGUCCAUCGUCAAUCAUUUUAGUUAUUCCGUGAAAAAAAAAUAUUUGUUAAAUUGAGUGUAUUUUUGUCAAAUCAAUCGCUUCACUUGAACUGGUGGUUUCUCCAGUUUAGUUGAGAUUUCUCACAGAAUGACCAAAGUGAUUAACGGUGGACACUCUCAAGAACCACUUUUAUCGAUUUUAAAUUUCAGUGACCAAAAUGAAGAGUUAUAAGAAUUUCAGCAACUAUUUUAGCUAAAAAGACUAAUAUAAAUAUAUAAUAUUUGAGAAAUGCUAAGGAAACCCUCUCAAAGUGGAACUCUCUUCAUGAGCUCUCUCACACCUCAUAGUUUAAUGUUAGUUUCCUUGCCAACAUUAUAAAAUAUUGUGGCAAAAAAUGAGGUGGCAAAAAGUUCAUAGAGAGUAUCACUUUUGAGAAAUUAUCCUCAGCAUUUUUCAUAAUAUUUUGAUAUUAUUCCCUCACAAUAUUAUAGGAAAACUUGUUUAAGUUAUUCAUUAUUAGUAUGUGAAGCAAACACAUAUUGGAGAAUAUAAUCCCACAUCGGUCAUAUGAUAAAAUAAUAUACAACAAAUAUAUGAGAGUUUGCACUCCUAAUAGAGAAUUUUUGUAGUAAAAUCUAAUACCGAGUAGUAGGAGAUUAAAUUGAGACACUAUUGGUAUUCUUGAUGGUAAAUCAUGUUUGGCCUAUAAAAUUUAUCAACACAUAGCUAAACGCCAUUCAUCCAUACUUAAUAUAUAAUGCCAACAACCCAUUUAGGGUCACGGACUUCACCAAAAAGAAUGCCCCCCCUCUCCAAAUAAAAAAGUUCAAAACCAGUCGAAAUGAAUGCAUAAAAUAGUGCAGAGGCAAUUUUGUCAUAAAAAGAAUUUUUUUAUUGUUUUUUUAUGAUUAGUAUCUUACUAUUACGUGGAAUAUUCAGGAGUUUCUUCUAGCAUGGUCUAAUAUUAUUCAUUUAAUCCAAAUGUUUGACUUUCUUUUUCUUAAGUAGAGUUGUCUGUCUGCUCUUGAAAUAUUGGUUACAUGGAACAUCAACGGAUUUCUUCUAGUUUAAUUAUAAUAAUGUUCUUUUUUAUGCUUUUAAACUUGUAGGCAUGAAUCUAAAUUUAUUCAAAAAAUUGUUGAAGAUAUUUCGGUCCCAGUUUUAGAUAGUACCCAUUUGAAUGUGGCAAGGUAUCCAGUUGGAAUAGAGUCUCGCCGUUCCUCCGACGCCGCACCGCCCGCAACUACCGCCAAUUCUGAUCAAGACCGAGAUCGGGAUAGAGAGAGAGACCGAGACCAAGAUCGAGAUCGCAGUCCUUCAAAGGUGCUGCUUCCGCCCUCGCUUUCUUAGCUGGAAGAUUUGUAGGAUUCGCUUUCUUAUGUAUGCUGUGUUACUGAUUGGUUUGGUGAUGCAGGCACAAGAUUUCAGGCAGCCGGAACCUCAGAUAAGCAUGAAGACUUGUUUGCAGAAGAAGUUUGAAAUAGUUUGCAAAUUCUUAUUCGUUUUGUGUUGGAUCAUCUUCUUAGUAUUUUGGGUCCGUGGCGCCGCACGCAUCGGUUUUUUUAGCGAGUUUUUUCAAUAAAUUGUAAGAGACUUGUUGCAUAUUUAAAUUAACACACAUUAUAUCCUUGUUUCCUAUGUUUUCAGUAUAUUCCAAUGCUUUAUUAUAUAUAUGUCAUUCUAUUUUGUAGUUUAUGAUGAAAUUAUAUAUUGUAAGUAUAAGCAGACAUUUAUUUACACGAAAUAUAAUAGAUUUACUUAAAUCUACCUAGUCCGCUUAGGUGCUCCCUUAGCUGCCUAGGCACUAGGUUCUAAUGCACCGCCCGACUAGCACCUAUCGUCUUUUAGAACCUUGGUUAUGGUAGUGGUGGGAGUUAAAUAGGCGUAUGCCUAGCCUAUGGAGCUCACAAAAAAAAACCAAGGAUAAUUUUUAUUUUGUAUUUCAUUUUUUUAAUAAAAUGGAAGGGACUUUUGAAUGCUUCGAUGAACAUUUAUUAUAUGGUUGCUCAUUAUGUUUUCAGUAUGUUCUAAUACUUUAUAAUUUAUAUUAUUUUAAUUUAUAAUGUAUGUAUUUCAAUACAAUUAUGUAUUUUAAAACAGACCCUGUUAUACACUAUUGGCUUGGUAAUUUGAAUCAAAUCCACACCAUCUCAAUAAAAUUCCAAUCCAUCCCAAUACAUUUGGGUCAAAAGUUGGAGUUGCAAAGCACAGAAAAGACAUAUUUGGGCCUAGUGGGUCUCACGGUGGUGCUUAGAUGAAUCGGUUUGAGUCUGACCGAGUCUGAGUGUUCCCAAAGAAAACGAAUAACUCGGUUCAUGACGAGAGAUUUUUCAGUGCAACCAAAUCAUGAGCCAUACAUUACAUGUCACUAUAUAAAUGAUAAAAUAUGUGUUAAAAAAUUGAUAACUAAAAAUUUAAACUUUCUGCCACUUGCAUAAAAAUACGUGAUCAUUCGGUAUUCCCAUCAUAAUAAAAAAUUUCUAGUCCAUGACAGAAGCGGCACACCUGGGAAGGUUGGUUCGUCACUGAGACUUCAAUAAAUACUUGCAUUUGCCUACACACUUUAUGUGUAUGCACACAUUUUUUUAGAAAAUGAGAAGGAGAGAGGGAGAGAGAGAGAGAAAGAACAUGAGGGAGUGAGAGGUUUUUUUUUUGGUUUAUUUUUUUUUUAAAUUUUAAAUAUUAAAGAUAUUUUAACAUCAUAUAUAGGUAAAGUUUCAAUAAAAAAUAGUAAAAUUUAGACUUGUGAAAUUACAUUAUUAUCUAUCAUUUUUUUUUGUGAUAAAAGACUAAGUUAUUUUUCAUCCUCUUUUGAGACAAACAAGUUUCAUUAAUUAAUAGAGAUUAGAAACCGCAGGAGCUGCCAUUUCCGAUGAUCGAAUGCUUUAGAGAAAGAGAGAUGGCGCGGCAAGAAAGCAAAGAGCCCUGCAAGAAAGAAGCCUGCAACAUUCAAGCAUGCCCCUCCAAGAACAACUUCCUCCCUCAAAAGUACGCCCCUCCGUCCUCUUUUUCCUCCUCUUCUCUUUAUUAUUAUCUGUAUCACUUGUUUGGUUUCCGAGAAAACAUUGUUUGGUUGCCGAGAAAAUAGAGGAACAUUUCUAUCAUCUCCAUUUUCUUUCCCAAGAGUGAAGCUUUAAAAUUCAUGGGUCGAAUCGAAUAUCUUUUCAUUCAAGAACAAUUUUUGUUUAUUUCUCCAUCGUAUUGUAAUUAAUAUAAAAUGCGUUGUGAUUUGAUUUCUAGCUGGUUAGGGGUUUUACCAUUGUGAUUGGCUGCUUGCUUUACAACUUCUGUUUGUUUUACUGUUUCCUGAGCUUUUCAAAAAAUAUAUAAUCUGGCUCUUUUCAAUUUAUACGGUAAGACGGUAAGGGUGUGUUUGUUAGGGAUGAUUGGGUUGGAUAGGAUAAUUGCUAGAUUCAAGGCAUAUCCAAGUUGAAGGUAGAAGACAAGUUACUCAUGAAGGAAAGUUGUCCAUUCGAAUUCCCACAAAAAACUAGGAUUAGAUGGGGUAACUUUCCUCUCUGAUCAUCGUUUUCGACAUUCAACUUGGACAAAUUUGGGAGUUGUGUUGCAUUUUUCCCUUAAAUAUGCCUUGAAUCUAGUGAGUUAUGCUACCCAAGCUAAUCCUCCCUAACAAACGCACCCAAACAGUUUCCACAAGCUGGUUUUCUUAACAAAACUUUCUUUUAGCACCAUGGAGGUAAAUCUAUAAUCUCCAACGAGGAGGAAUUGAACCGAUACUUGUGGAUGCAGUCUAGCUGUACUGACUUGAAGUUCUAUAAUCUCUCAGCAUCUCAUCCUUUUUCGUAAUCGAAUGAUCAUGGAUUCAACGACCAAUGAAGGAGCCUCUUCCUCUUCGUCUUCUUCUUACACCCAUUCAUGGACAUAUGAUGUCUUCCUCAGUUUUAGAGGAGAGGAUACCCGCAACAAUUUUGUUGGUCAUCUGUACAACAAUUUGGUUCGGAAGGGAAUCAAAACCUUCAUAGACGACGAGGCGCUUAAAAGAGGAGAGGAAAUAUCGGCAGCGCUUCUCAAAGCAAUCGAGCAGUCGAGGGUUUCUGUUGUUGUCUUCUCCGAAAACUACGCUUCCUCAGAGUGGUGCUUAGAUGAACUCGUUCACAUCUUUCACUGUAAAGAACAACUGCAGCAGAUGGUUUUUCCAGUUUUUUACAAGGUGGAUCCAUCGGAUGUGAGGAACCAAACAAAGAGUUUGGGCAAGGCACUUGCUCACCAUGAAAGCAAACUCAAAGAUAACAUGGACAAGGUGUUGAGAUGGAGAGAAACUCUUACAAAAGCAGCAAAUUUGUCUGGCUGGUCAUUCCUGGCCGACGGGUAUUUUUCUGACCUCUAUGUACUAAUAAGCUUCAAUUCAUAAGCAUAAUACGAAGACUUUUUAGCCAAAAUGAUUUUUCUAUGAUGAGCAUAAUUCUUUACUUUGUUCUUUAAGAUUUUAAAUCGAUAGAAAUGGUUCUUGAGAUAUCCAUCGUCAAUCAUUUUGGUUAUUCUGUGAAAAAAAUCUCAAUUUGUUAAAUCAAUCACUCCACUUGAACUGGUGGUUUCUCCAGUUUAGCUGAGAUUUCUCACAGAAUGACCAAAGUGAUUAACAGUGGACACUCUCAAGAACCAUUUUUAUCGAUUUUAAAUUUCAAUGACCAAAAUGAAGAGUUAUAACAAUUUCAGCAACUAUUUUAGUUAAAAAGACUAACAUAAAUAUAUAAUAUUUGAGAAAUGCUAAGGAAACCUCUCAAAGUGGAACUCUCUUCAUGAGUUCUCUCACACCUCAUAGUUUAAUGUUAGUUCUCUUGCCAACAUUAUAAAAUAUUGUGGCAAAAAAUAAGGUGGCAAAAAGUUCAUAGAGAGUAUCACUUUUGAGAAAUUAUCCUUAGCAUUUUUCAUAAUAUUUUGAUAUUAUUCCCUCACAAUAUUAUAGGAAAACUUGUUUAAGUUAUUCAUUAUUAGUAUGUGAAGCAAACACAUAUUGGAGAAUAUAAUCUCACAUCGGUCAUAUGAUAUAAUAAUAUAUAACAAAUAUAUGAGAGUUUGCACUCCUAAUAGAGAAUUUUUGAAGUAAAAUCUAAUACCGAGUAGUAGGAGAUUAAAUUGAGACACUAUUGGUAAUCUUAAAAGAAUUUUUUUAUGAUUAGUAUCUUACUAUUACGUGGAAUAUCCAAAGGUUUCUUCUAGCAUGGUUUAAUAUUAUUUAUUUAGUCCAAAUGUUUGACUUUCUAUUUCUUAAGUAGAGUUAUUUGUCUGCACUUGAAAUAUUGAUUACAUGGAACAUUCACGGAUUUCUUCUAGUUUAAUUAUAAUAAUGUUAUUUUUUAUGCUUUUAAACUUGUAGGCCUGAAUAUAAAUUUAUUCAAAAAAUUAUUGAAGAUAUUUCGGUCCAAGUUUUAGAUAGUACCCAUUUGAAUGUGGCAAAGUAUCCAGUCGGAAUACAGUCUCGUGUCAAACAAUCCAGUUCGGUUUUUUUGGAUCUUGGAUCUGCUCCUGUCCUCGAUCGCGAGCAAUUCGAGAGAGACCGAGAUCGAGAUCGCAGUCCUUCAAAGGUGCUGCUUCCGCCCUCGCUUUCUUAGCUGGAAGAUUUGUAGGAUUCGCUUUCUUAUGUAUGCUGUGUUACUGAUUGGUUUGGCGAUGCAGGCACAAGAUUUUAGGCAGCCGAAAACUCAGAUAAGCAGCAAGAUGAGUCUGAGGAAGAAGUUUGAAAUAGUUUGCAAAUUCUUAACCGUUUUGUAUUACAUCAUCAUCGUAGUACUUGUGGCCAGACACCACGAUUUUUUUAGGGAAAUUUUUAUAGAAAGUAUAAUAAAUUUACCUAAAGUUGUCUAGUCCGCUUAAGUGCCCCUAGCCGCCUAGGCACAAGGUUCUAAUCCAUCGCCCUACUAGCGCCUAUCGUCUUUUAGAACUUUAGUUAUAUUAGUGGUGGGAGUUAAAUAGGCGUAUGCCUAGCCUAUGGAGCUCGCGAAAUAAAGGGAUAAUUUUUAUUUUGUAUUUCAUUUUUUUAAUAAAAUGAAAGAGACUUUUGAAUACUUCGAUGAACAUUUAUUAUAUGGUUGCUCACUAUGUUUUCAGUCGGUUCUAAUUUUUUAUCAUUUAUGUUAUUUUAAUUUGCAAUGUAUGUAUCUCAAUACAAUUAUGUAUUUUAAAACAGACCUCGUUAUGCACUAUCGGCUUGGUAAUUUGAAUCAAAUCCACACCAUCUCAAUAAAAUUCCAAUCCAUCCCAAUACAUUUGGGUCAAAAGAUGAGUUGCAAAGCAUAGUAAAGACAUAUUUUGGCCCAGUGGGUUUCAAAUUUUUUUGGCCCAGCCCUUUAUCAAAAAUGAAUUUUGUAUCAAAACGGAUUAUGUUUUGACAUAUAGUCAUUUGGCCGGUUCUGUUGGAAAUUGCCUUAGCUUUGUUAUUUUAGGCUGACAUCAUAGUGGCUUUUAAGUGAAAAUGAUUCGAAAAUGGUUCAAUUUUCACAUUGACCCUCUACUCUACCCUUUACAAAAGUUCACAAAAUUUACAUUAGCAAGAAAGACACACCAAAACCAAUACGCGCUAAAAUUACCGUAAACUCCCUCCAUGACAACUCUAACUGGCACAAUUUCAACGAAGGUAAUAUAUCUCCCAACCCAAAUGAUAUAAUAAAGUAAUUCCGGAUAUAAAUGAUAGAAAAAGUAAAAUGAGACAUAAUAUAGAAAGGUAAAAUUAGAAAUUUUGUGGAACUAGAGGAACACUUGUUUCAAUUGUAUUCAUUAUUAGAAUGUGAAUCAAACACAUGUUGGAGAAUGGGAUUUCACAUCCGUCAUAAUCACAUGACAAAAUAUGUGCUAUUAAUAUAUGGAAGUUUCAACACCUAAUAUCAACGAGAUUUUUGUAAUAAAAUCUAACACCUAGUAAUAAGAGAUAAAAUUGAGACAAUAUCAUAAUGUUGAUGGUGGACUAUGUUCCACCUAUGAAGUUUAUCAACACAUAGCUAAAUGUCAUUUAUCUAAAUAUAAUAAUGUUCUUUUUUUGGCCUUUAAACUUGUAGGCAUGAAUCUAAAUUUAUUCAAAAAAUUGUUGAAGAGAUUUCGGUCCAAGUUUUAGAUAGCUCCUAUCUGAAUGUGGCGAAGUACCCGGUUGGAGUAGAGUAUCGUGUCAAUCAAUCCGGUUCGGUUUGUUUCGAUUUUCGAUAUGCUCCUGUCCUCACUUGCCAGCAAUUAGAGCAGUUCCAGCCUUGCAUAUAGGCCGGGGGACAGGGGAGAAGAAAGGGCCCGAGGGCCUGUCAAUCACGUCCAGCCUUGAAGGGCCCGAGCUCGUGGAGAAGGCCCGAGCAGGGGCCUGUCAAUUUGUGACAGCCCCGGAGCCCGAGCUCCAUGCCCAUUUUUUAUUUUUUUCUGUCAGGCGCGUGCACCCCACUCGCGAGUGGGGGCGCGUCGCCCGACCAGUUUUCAGAAAAGUCAGCCGACUUUUCAGACAGAAAAGUUACCGUUGGGAAGACACGUGGCUUCCCACGGUCCGUUCGAUCUCAACGACUCCUUCAUUUGGACCGUUGAAUCUCAACGGUAAAAAAAAAAAAUCUAAUUUAAUAUCAACCGUUCGAUCUGAGAUCAACGGUCGAUAUUAAUAUGCUUUAUAAAUAAAGAAAAAAUAGUUUUAAAAUUAAGAAAAGUUACCGUUGUGACACGUGGCACAAUCUGGAGUGUUGGAAUUCAAAUUUUUUUAAAUCCAACGGCAGAGAUUAAUUAUUUGAAUAAAAAUUAAAAAAAAUGGAAAAAAUCCGAAAAAAAAUUGUAAAAAAUCUGAAAAAAAAUUGUAAAAAAUUGUUUUUACUUUUCUAUAAAUACCACUUCUUCUCCAUCUACCUUACACCACAAUUUCAUAUUUUCUCAACUACUUUCAAUCAAAUUCCUAUCUUUCUCUCAAAGUUUCAAUCCAAUUUUUUUCCACAAAAUGACUAUUGAUGCAGGUACGAAUUGGUCGCUUCUUGAAGAUGUUGCGUUGUGCACUAGCUGGGUUGAAGUUACUCAUAAUUCCCUUACGGGUAAUGAGAUGCAGUUGCGAGAAAUGUGGAGUUUAAUUCAUACCAAAUAUCUUGAGCAAAUGAGUGGGAAAAGAACCAAAGAAUCGAUGUCCAGUCGUUAGAAAAUACUUAGCCAUUCCUUUAGUACAUGGAGAGAUGCAUUGACACAAGCUAGUAGUAAUGUUCGAAGUGGGGCAAAUUAUGCGGAUGAGGUAAGAAUAUAUUAUAAUUAUUUGUUUGUAUUAUUAUUUUGUUACCUAAUUUGAUUAUAAUUAUUUGUUUGUAUUAUUUAUUUGUUACCUAAUUUCAUUAUUAUUAUUAUUUGUUUGCAUUAUUUAUUUGUGACCUAAUUUCAAUAUUAUUAUUUGUUUGUAUUAUUUAUUUGUUACCUAAUAAUUUCAUUAUUAUUAUUUGUUUGUAUUAUUUAUUUGUUACCUAAUAAUUUCAUUAUUAUUAUUUAUUUGUAUUAUUUAUUUGUUACCUAAUUUCAUUAUUAUAAUUAUUUGUUUGCAUUAUUUAUUUGUGACCUAAUUUCAUUAUUAUUAUUUGUUUGAAUUAUUUAUUUGUGACCUAAUUUCAUUAUUAUUAUUUGUUUUUAUUAUUUAUUUGUGGCCUAAUUUCAUUAUUAUUAUUUGUUUGUAUUAUUUAUUUGUUACCUAAUAAUUUUAUUAUUAUUAUUUGUUUGUAUUAUUUAUUUGUUACCUAAUAAUUUCAAUAUUAUUAUUUGUAGCAACUUCAAGCACAAGCAUGGUAUGCUGCCAAAAUCAAAUCAAGAAACAAAUCAUUCACCCGAUGGGAAUGUUGGAAUAUUGUUAAAGAUUGUCCUAAAUUCAAAGUUGUGCCUGUUGGUCCAGAAGUAUGCAUGAACAACAUCCCUCUACACAGCACCUUUGUACACAACACCCCUCCACACUCUACACCCGAUCAUGGCUCCCAUGUUGAUGAAGAAGAUGGAGAAGAAGUGCCUGAAACGCCCAUUCCAGAACAAGCGUCGGGGUCGACCCGUUAUCCAAUUAGGCAUCAAGGUAAGAAGGCUUCAAAGAGGAAAGGGAGUGCUUCCAAGAAUGAUUAUGGAAAGUUUAUGCAAGAACUUGCUCGUCAAGGUGAAUUGACAUUGGCGCGGGAAUUGGCGAAAUAUGAGGCUGAUAAGGCUAGAGAUGAGGUAAAAGCUGCAGCUAUUCAACAAGCAUUUCAAGCUAAACAGAGGGAAAAAGAGCUACUUAGGCAAGAAAGGGAGUUGCUUAGAGAAGAAAGAAUUGCACAACGAGAUCGUGACAUUAUGAACAUGCGUUUAGAAGGGAUGUCUCCAAAUUCUAAAUAUUUUUGGCAGGCGUGCAAGAGAAGCGAGAUCAAGACAAGAUGGUCUUAGCACAACAAGACAAGAUGAUCCUAGCACCACAGAUUAGUUAAGUGGUGAGGAAUAGGGUACUUUUGUAAUCGGAGCCCAUAGUUUUCCAAUCACUUUGGGUUGUAAUUUAUUAUUUAUGUUGUUUCCAUGUAAUCGGAAUAGGGUACUUUUGUAAUCGGAAUAGGGUACUUAUGUAAUUUAUUAUUUAUGUUGUUUCUAUUUUAUUGAAGUUAGUACUUUAUUAAAAGUGAGAGUACAUAUAUUUAAUUUCGUAAUAUAUUUAUCCUAAUAACAGAAUCUUUAUUCAUCAAAUUGUUCACGUAUAAUGAAAUUAUAAAACACACCAAAUAAAACUAAAAAACUCACCAAUUGGAAUUACAUAAACACACCAAAUAAAAUUACAUAAACAUACGAAAUAAUAAAAAACUCACUACAAAAAACACACCAAAUAAAAUUACAUAAACAUACCAAAUAAUUCACACCAAAUAAAAUUACAUAAACAUACGAAAUAAUAAAAAACUCACUACAAAAAACACACCAAAUAAAAUUACAUAAACACACCAAAUACAAACAAACAUACUAAAUAAACUUAAGUAUUUUCAGCUUGUUUCAAUGCCCACUGGUGCUCUAUCAAGUCAAUUUGCCGAUCAAUGUGCAUAGAUGACCUUUGAAGUGCAGUAUAUCGUUGAAUGACCUUUUCAUUGUAACGUCCAUCCCUUUCUAAUGGGUCGUGUUGCACGGGUUCUUCAGUGGCAUCAUGCGCACAAUAUAUCCGUGUUCUUGAAUUGUUCAUCGUGUCUGGCUCUGGCUCAUAUUCAUCAACCGCAUCAUAAUCGAACUCAUCUUCCACAAUCAUGUUGUGAAGAAUGACGCACGUCAUCAUGAUGGAUCGAAGUGACUCUACAUCGAACAUUCUGGCAGCACCCCUGACGAUCGCCCAACGAGCUUGAAGGAUACCAAAACAAUGCUCCACAUCUUUCCUGCACCCCUCUUGACAGCUUGCAAAGUGUUUUUCCUUUGCACUUCGUGGACGUGGCACUGUUUUGACAAAUGUUUCCCACCGUGGGUAAAUGUCGUCAGCUAGGUAGUAUGCCCCUUCGUACCUACGUUCGUUGACGACGUACGUGACUUUUGGUGCCUUUCCUUGCAGGACGUCGUUGAACACUGGGGAUUGGGCAAGGACGUUGAGAUCAUUUUGAGCCCCCGGAACCCCGAAAAAGGCGUGCCAUAUCCAUGUAUCAAAAGAUGCCACUGCCUCCAAAAUGAUAGAUUUUGAUCCUUUUCUUUCCCCAUAUGCGCCUUGCCAUGCACUUGGACAGUUUUUCCACGUCCAGUGCAUACAAUCGAUGCUUCCUAUCAUCCCAGGAAAACCUCGCAUCUCGCCCUUCUUCAGAAGCCUUUGCAAGUCCCAGCGAGUAGGUUUUCGGAGGUACUCUGCGGUGUACAAAGAUUCGACUGCUCCGCAAAACCUCAUCAGGGCCUCAAGAAUGGUUGAUUUCCCCAUCCUCGUUAUCUCAUCCACUUGGUCUGCAGAUGCUCCAUACGCAAGCAUCCACAACGCAGCAGUGAUUUUUUGCUCAGGCAGGAGACCCAUAACACCACAAGCAUCCUUCUUUUGCACAAAGUAAGAAUCAUGGUUGCAAACAUCAGUCAUGAUUUUGUUGAACAAAUGUCGUUCCAUUCUAAAAUGGCGUCUGAAGUACGUAUCAGGAAAUGCACUGUUAUGGACAAAGUAAUCGUCCAACAGCUCUUCACCCCGUCGUUGCCUGCUUCUAUCAAGGUUUCUUGAACGGUUGGGCCUGCAUAUAUGAGCAACAGUCUGGAUGACUCGACGGGAAUGUGAGGCUCUGGUCAUUCUUGUUUCGUCAUCUCUCCUUCUACGUUCCUCAUCCUCUUCCAUCUCAUUUUCGGCUAUCUGAAGGUUGAACAUUCCUUCAGAUUGGUUAAACAAUUCUUCCUCUUGCUGAUCGAUUUCCCACAUCAUCCUUGAUGAAGAAGAAGACAUUGUAAUGAUGGAUGGAGAAGAAGAAGCAGAAACUAUGAAUAAUGAGAUAGAGAUGUUGAGAAAAUUGGUGUGAGAUUUGUGAGGAUGGAUGGUGGAUUAUAUGGACGAUUCAGAAAGGAUCGGAUUGUAGAUAAGGCCACGUGGCAUGCCGUCAUUCGUUAAAAAUCUGAUCGAAAUCUAUCCUCAAAGAUUCUGAAAAGAUAAUGACACGUGGCACGAUCGUAUUAGAUAAAAAUCUUAUCGAAAUCGAUCUCCAAUAAUUAUAUUUUCGGAUAAUGACAUGUUGCGCAAUUUUGAACGAGUUAAAAUCUGAUCGAAAUCUAUCGUCAAAGAUUCUCAAAAGAUAACGACACGUGACACGAUGACAUUGGAUAAAAAUCUUAUCGAAAUCCAUCGCUAAAUAAUUGUUUUUUUUAUAAAAUGACACGUGACGCAACGAGAACGAUUUAAAAAAUCUUAUCCGAAAUUACAAAUAAUUUUAUUUUGUAUUAUUUAAACAAACAAAAAAACUAAUAUUUUAUUGCCUAUUGCCAGGGGGAGGGCUCCAAAGGUGAAGAUGCAAAUGGCAAUUACUGUUCAUUUAUGGUAGUUACUAUUCAUUAAAGGCAGUUACUGUUCAAAAUGGUGGAUUCACUAGUGGAUUGCCAGGGGGAGGGCUCCAUGGGUGGAGUUGCUCGCCAUCCAACGCCAUCAAGAACAAACCGAGGAUCAAAAGGGCCACCAGCACCUUCCCCUCUCCAGUCUCUCCCACCCGUGUCGUUCCUCUGACGCCGCACCACCCGCAACCACCACCAAUUCUGACCGAGACCGAGACCGAGACCGAGAUCGGGAUAGAGAUAGAGACAGAGAUCGAGAUCGCAGUCCUUAAUCGUGCUGCUUCCGCCCUCGCUUACUCAGGUGGAAGAUUUGGUAGUAUUGGCUUCGAUCACUGUCGCAGUCCUUCAAUGGUUGCCAUUGUGGCUGCUUUGAUCCUUAAAAAUUGUAUUUUGAUUUGAGUUUUGACAGUGGUUUCUGUGCACACAUCUGUUUAUUUUAGGUGAUGACAAAAUUACAAAAUGCAUGUAAUUUUAUAUUAAAAGAAUUUUUGGGACUAGAAAAACUCACAGAUACAUUUCAGCUUUUUUCUGGAGAAAAUUCUCCUCUUCUUUGCCACAAGUCUUUGAGUUUCAAACCCGAGAUUUCCAGUUUUUAGUUUUAAAAAAGUCUCGUAAUUCUCCAUUUAUCACUGAACCACCGGCUAGUAAUUGGUUAUGCAUAAUUGUUGAGAAAGGUGAAAUAGAUAAGAAAAAUAUAGAAAAUAACUGAAACUAUCAUCUGACUAAUCACCAAUAAAAUGGAAAGUCUGCUUAUGUGGAAGAAUGGUCAAAGUUUUAAAUUUGAAUUCAGGAUUUUUCCUAAAACAUGUCAAUGCCUUAUUUGUGUAUCGCCUAAUUACGACGGGCCUUCAUUUUCAACUAUCUAUUUUGUCGUGGGUUAAAAUUUUUUCCCUUCCACGUCCCUCCGGGUGCUAGUGUAAUUAAGUUAAAAUUAGUAAUUUGCUUGUAUUUUUUUUUUUGAAUAAAAGUACGAUAUUUAUUGAGCAAAUCAGAAAACGUAUAAACUGAAGAUAUUGUUUACUCUGGGCCUCGAUAAAACUUUGCCGGAACUUUUAAUCCGGUUGAAGGGAAAAAAGUGUCCCGCACAACAAGAAAACCUAUCCUCAAAUGACAAUACAUAGGCAAGUUACGAAACAUCUUCGAACAAAAUAUCCCUAAGCAAAUUAGGGGGUUCUUAAAACCACAUAAACUGUUGAUUACUACCAAUUCCCACUCAAGCAAGGCGAUACGUUGCCAAGUUACGUUCCCGCUGAACGUGGUUUAACAACGGUUGAGGCAAGGUUUUGAGUAAAUAGCAAAGGUCGUUGAUAAUAGGACCAAAAGGUGAACAAUCUUCAUCCUGACCCUUCAUGGCAGCCAAUACCAUAAUUGAGUCUCCUUUGAAUACUACACUCUUACCAACUGGGCAAUAAGCUUGGGCCAAUAAAACAGCUUUACUGGCAGCAAAGAGCUGAUCAGCAUGGAAAGCAGAGCUUGUCCUUCCAAUGGUACCAGCAGCAGCAACGAUGAACUCCCCCAUGUGAUCCGGAAGAACAACACCAAAGCCACCUCGUAAACCUUGUUGAAUCCACGCCCCAUCAAAGUUACAUUUAACCCAAUCUACAUAAGGUUUUCUCCACUUCUGGGGGGUACGGUUUGACUUCCUCGCAAUAGAUUAUGCCAUUUUUGAUACUCUUGCAGUCAACGCUCUGCUCGAAACACCACCUCCUGCGACGACAAAAAGGAUCCAUUCCAAAGCGCAUCAUUUAUAUUCUUCCGCAGCAUCCAUAAGGUCAUCAAACAAAAGUAAAAAACCGAGGAUGGAAAGUGCAUAGCAAUUUGUAAAAACCAUUGUAUAAGUUGUUGAGUGUUGCUAUUCUCAAGCCUGAGUCCCAAACCACCAAACCAAACCGCCUUCGCCAUGUUGCAAUCCCUUAGUACAUGUUCUGUCGAUUCGCCGCUUGAACCACAAAAACCACAUAAAUUAUCCACAGCCACUCGGCUCUUUGUAAGGUUCGAUUUUGUGGGAAGAGAGUCCAAACACGAAUCUUGACGUUCCCGGAAACACAUGCCUUCCAUAAUUUCUUCUAUGACUUUUCCCUUCCAUCAUCAGAUGAAGAAUAAGAAGAAGCAUUUGCGCCAUCCCCGGCUGAGGGAAUGACUCUACGUGCCACAUGGUAGGCACUUCGGUCUGAGAACUUCCCAUUGCGUUCAUAAUGCCAAAUUCGACAAUCCACAACCGAACACAUACUGAUGGGAAGGCUGACAAUUAGUUCCAUUUCCUCCUGAGCCCAUUGUCACGAGUCGGCAAGGAAGAGAUUAUCCACCGUCACUGCAACAUCCCAGUACACCAACGGUUGUUAAAGGAAAGAUAAUCUCAUGAUCUGAUUGUGAGCUAUUCUAGCAUUUGGUGAUUGGUCAACUCUUGGGCUAGAGUAAUUGUAGGAUGUAAAUACAAUUAGCUUGAUUAUAGACUCUGUUUACCUAAUAUAGCUUAUAGCUUCUGUAUAAAUCGAUCUCCAUGUAUCUCAAUAUUCAUAUCAAUGAAAUAUACAAUUCCACAAUUUAUCUUGGUAUCAGAGCACCGAUCUUGGUGACUCUAUUACGCUUCCGCCACAAUAAGCUUUCCUCAAACACCAUAGCCACCACAAUGGCAGAACCAACCAAACCUGAAAUCAAAUCAGCCGAGAAUUCCAUGGAGUUCUCAAACCCGUAUACCUUACACCACUCGGAUCAUCCGGGACUGAUCCUAGUUUCCAAAACACUUGACGGAAACAAUUACGGACAAUGGAGCCGUGCUAUGCGCAUGGGUCUUAGCGCAAAGAACAAGAUCGGAUUUAUCGAUGGAACCAUUAAGGCUCCAGCAUCCUCAGACGCGAAACAUGCAGCCUGGAAGAGAUCUAACGACAUGGUCACACUGUGGAUUGUAAACUCAGUCCACUCAGACAUAGCAGGCAGCAUCAUGUACACUGAAACCGCAGUUGCAGUUUGGAACGAUCUGAGGGACAGAUUCUCACAAAGCAGCGACUCAAGAAUCUAUCAAAUUCGACAAGAAAUUGUCGAGAACCGCCAAGGGCAGCUCACUGUCUCUGCCUAUUACACCAAGAUGAAAGCAUUAUGGGACGAGUUAGCAUCCUACCAUGACCCAUUCACCUGCACUUGUGAAGGUUUGAAAGGGCUUGCUGAGCGAGAAGAGAAGGAAAGAGUUAUGCAAUUCCUAAUGGGAUUGAACGACUCUUACUCAGUCGUACGAGGCUCGAUUUUGAUGAUGAGUCCACUUCCGGAUACACGCCGAGUUCAUGGCCUAAUUCUCCAACACGAACGACAAAUGGAUGUGGUAAGUCGUCGUGAAAUGGGGACGAGUUCUCAUGCAAUGCAAGUUCAGCGCCCUCCAGCGCCGUCAUCAUCUAAUGACAGGUUUCCUAGCCCUUCUGCAGGUUCAUUCUCACGCAAAUCACUUAAGUGCACUUACUGUGAUGGAGAUGGGCACUUGGUGGACAGAUGCUAUUACAUCAUUGGGUUUCCAGUGGGCCACAAGUGGCAUGGCAAAAAUGUGAAGCCUAAGAACAGGAAAGCAGCAGCCCAUAAUGCCGAGAUCACCAAGCCUGCUGCGACCACCAACCCAACCACUUCCAACGGCCCAACUUUCACUACCGAGGAAUAUAAUCAGAUAAUUGCCAUGCUCCGCAACGGUAAUGGUCAAUCACUCGCAGAUGCGAAAGGUAUUUUCUCACCCACAUGCAAUAUAGCACAAAAGGAUGCACACUCAACUUUAUAUUGGAUUGUUGAUAGCGGAGCUACCGACCAUAUAUCUCAUUCACCACCAACUCACAACAUCGUUGCUACUCAGCAUGACUUUGUUGGUUUACCAAAUGGGGGGCAAGCGGAAAUACAAAAUAUUGGCUCAAUAAAAUUGUCGCAUGACUUAUCCCUUGAUAAAGUUCUUUAUGUACCAAAGUUCCGCGUCAAUUUGUUGUCUGUUAGUAAGUUGACAAGAGCUUUGCGGUGUAUAGUGACAUUUUAUCCUGAUUUUUGUGUUGUGCAGGACAUGGAUACGAAGAGGAUGAUUGGCCUGGGCAAGCAUUUUGAUGGGCUAUACUACCUUACACCAAGUCAAAAUCCUCACCUCGCCAACCAUAUUACUCACACCACAAGUCUUUGGCAUCGGCGCCUCGGGCAUCCCUCAUCCGCACCCUUACUCUCGCUAGCUAAGAAUAAUACUGAAAUAAUGUUUGAUUCCAAACACCUUUGUGAAGUUUGUCCUUUAGCCAAACAAACUCGAUUACCUUUUUCUACUAGUACUAUUAAAUCUACUGCACCAUUUGAUUUAAUUCAUUGCAACAUUUGGGGACCUCACAAAAUACAAACACAUUCUGGGGCACGCUAUUUCCUUACUAUUGUGGAUGAUUUCACUCGUUUCACAUGGGUACAUCUUAUGAAUUUUAAGUCAGACACACAAAUGUUAUUAAAAUCAUUUUUUUCUUGGGUAAAGACUCAGUUCCACACCAACAUUAAGGCUCUUCGUGCCGAUAAUGGUGGUGAAUUCAUUUCCAUGCGUUCUUACCUAGACUCUUGUGGCACUAUUUUACAACAUUCUUGUCCUUACACACCACAACAAAACGGGGUAGUCGAACGUAAACAUAGGCAUCUUUUAAAUGUAGGUCGUGCUCUCCGUUUUCAGGCCAACUUACCUUUAAAAUUUUGGGGGGAAAGUAUUCAAACCGCUUGUUAUCUCAUAAAUCGCCUACCUACACCCUUGCUCUCUCACAAGUCUCCCCACGAGAUUUUACAUGGCAAACCACCCUCUUAUGAGCACUUGCGAGUUUUUGGAUGCCUUUGUUACGCCACCAACCUCACACCCACCCACAAAUUCGACAUUCGUGCUAUACGUUGUGUUUUCAUUGGAUACCCUCUUCAUCACAAGGGUUAUACAGUAUAUGAUCUAGCCACCCAUAAAUUUUUCGUGUCCCGCGACGUUACAUUCCAUGAACACAUUUUCCCUUAUACCACUUCACCACCCACGGACCAAAAUGAUUUUCCCAUUUUACCAAUGGGGGUUCGAGACUUGGGAGCAGCCUCUCCAUAAAUGGGGGUAAGGCUAGCCGACAUUCACCUCUCCCAGACCCUGCGUAAAGCGGGAGCCUUGUGCACUGGGUACGACCUUUUACCAAUCCUUUAUUCACCACAUUACCCAAAUGAACCCAUCAUUCCCAAUGCACAUGAAUCCCACGGCCCACAUGCAACCAAUGGCCCAUCUAACCCACAUGCAAACCCUGGCCCCUCUGACACCACAAAUCCCACCCCUUUACCUGCUACCCCCACUGCCCCGAUUCCCAUUACCCUUAGCCUUCCAGCAAAUCCUGAUCCCUUAUCUGUUCCUGCUGCUGCCGACCUACCUCCUGACACUGUGCCCACACCGACCCACCCCCCACCACCUCUCCGUCACUCUAAUCGCUCCACGCACCCACCUGCUCAUUUCAAAGACUAUGUGGCUCAUCAUUCCGUCUUGCUCACGCCCCCGGCUCCCUCUCACUCCAUGUCCAGCACUCGGUAUCCUUUACAUCGGUACGUCUCUUAUUCAUGUUUAUCUCCUGGAUAUCGACAAUUUGUUUCUCACAUUUCCCAUCUAGUGGAGCCAAAUACUUAUGAACAGGCCUGUCAAGAUCCUCAAUGGGUUGCUGCAAUGCAAGCUGAAAUUAUUGCUCUCGAGAACAACAAAACUUGGAGUUUUGUCCCUCUUCCGCCUGGACAACGUCCCAUUGGCUGCAAAUGGGUUUUCAAACUCAAGUACCACUCCGAUGGCACCUUGGAGCAUUACAAGGCCCGGCUCGUCGCCAAGGGCUUCACCCAACGCGAAGGCAUUGACUACAAAGAGACUUUCGCACCGGUAGCUAAACUUAUCACUGUGCGCUGCUUAUUAACUGUGGCUGCUGUUCGACACUGGCCUUUACAUCAAAUGGACGUCCAAAACGCCUUCUUACAUGGCGAACUUCAGGAGGAGGUAUAUAUGCUGCCACCUCCGGGUUUUAGUCGACAGGGGGAGAAUGUCGUGUGUCGACUCCACAAAUCCUUAUAUGGUCUCAAACAGGCAUCGAGAAGUUGGUUUCGUGAAUUCUCCACAGCUAUAUGUGACAUUGGUUUUAGUCAAUCUAAGGCAGAUUACUCCUUGUUCACUCAAGUCAAGGGCAAUUCUCUCACUAUUGUGCUGUUAUAUGUUGAUGAUAUGGUCAUUACAGGAAACAAUGAGGCUGAAAUCAACAACCUGAAGGCAUUUCUCAGCAGUCGAUUUCGAAUUAAGGAUCUCGGACCCUUGAAAUAUUUUCUUGGAGUUGAGGUUGCGCGUUCGAAAGCCGGAGUCACGAUUUGCCAAAGAAAAUAUACACUAGACAUAUUGGAGGAGGCUGGAUUGCUUGGUGCUAAGCCUGCGAAGGUUCCCAUGGAACCUGAGUUGGUGUUAACACCCACAGGUAGUGCUUCACUUCAUGAACCUGCUCGAUAUAGACGCUUGGUUGGAAAAUUAAUUUAUCUAACAAUCACGAGGCCAGAAAUUGCAUAUACCGUCAACACCUUGAGCCAGUUUAUGCAAGAUCCUCAACGACACCACCUUGAUGCAGCAUAUCGACUUCUUCGAUAUCUCAAAGAGGCUCCUGGACAAGGUUUGGUGUUUUCUUCACAAAGCAACUUACAAUUAACUGGUUAUUGUGACGCAGAUUGGGCUUGUUGUCCCACUACGCGUCGAUCAGUGACCGGUUAUUGUAUCUUUCUUGGUAAAUCACUAGUGUCCUGGAAAAGUAAGAAGCAAGUCACGGUGGCUCGUUCAUCUGCAGAAGCAGAGAAUCGAUCGAUGGCUACAGCCACUUGUGAAUUAAGCUGGUUGCGGUAUCUGUUGGAGGAUUUACAUGUUAAGCAUCCCCAACCAGCAAAGUUAUUUUGUGACAAUCAAGCAGCCUUAUACAUUGCUGCAAAUCCUGUGUACCACGAGCGUACAAAGCACAUUGAGAUCGAUUGUCACACUGUCCGUGAACGAAUCCAAAAAGGAGAAAUCAAGACUGCCUAUGUUCGAACAGGGGAACAAGUCGCUGACUUAUUUACUAAACCACUACGUGUGCCUGUUUUCCAUUCGCAUCUAGGCAAGUUGGGUGUCAUCGACAUCCACACUCCAACUUGAGGGGGAGUGUUAAAGGAAAGAUAAUCUCAUGAUCUGAUUGUGAGCUAUUCUAGCAUUUGGUGAUUGGUCAACUCUUGGGCUAGAGUAAUUGUAGGAUGUAAAUACAAUUAGCUUGAUUAUAGACUCUGUUUACCUAAUAUAGCUUAUAGCAUCAGAUGAAGAAUAAGAAGAAGCAUUUGCGCCAUCCCCGGCUGAGGGAAUGACUCUACGUGCCACAUGGUAGGCACUUCGGUCUGAGAACUUCCCAUUGCGUUCAUAAUGCCAAAUUCGACAAUCCACAACCGAACACAUACUGAUGGGAAGGCUGACAAUUAGUUCCAUUUCCUCCUGAGCCCAUUGUCACGAGUCGGCAAGGAAGAGAUUAUCCACCGUCACUGCAACAUCCCAGUACACCAACGGUGGACUCAAAAUUCAAAAGUAGGAGUCUCUCGACAACCAAUUAUCUUGCCAAAUUCUGAUAUUCUUCCCAACACUCAAAGUAAUGCUAGGAAGACUAAAUUUGUAGAUAAAGUUUUAGAAACUAAAAGACAUGAAAGUUGUUAAUUGGUUUAUUACCUAAGCUUUGAUAAACGUGCUCAUUCUUAUUGGUGACACAUCAUUUAGUUUGUAAAUUUUGUUUCAAAAUUUUGUUUCCCUAGCAUUAGAAAAAGUACCACGGAUGAAAAUAAGGUGAAAAAAUAGGAUACCACCACAUCUUCCAUUCCCUUACGGUCUUCAUGCCAUACCCCACCAUCAUCCUCAUGACUAUGUGGCCAAUUCCUCUUUUAUCUUCAAUCAGCUUUUUGGUAGAAAAUUUGGUGUUACGAUCGCCAAGUUUGACCCAAUUUUCUUUUGCUCUUUGUCUCCAAAAUAGCUCCUCUUGUUCAAGCAAAUUAUUUAGUCUUCCACUUAGCUCAUUCUUUUGCUCGAUAUUGACUCUUCAGUAGAAGGUUGACCCAAAAUACUUGUAACUUUAUCCUCCACUUCCAUAACUGCACGCGGCCCAGUCGUGGCAAGUAAUUCGCUUGUAUUAAAACAACCAUAAAUAAUAGUUCAGUAAAGACUUAUGAUAAAAACCAAAUUAGGCUAAGCCACACAAUUGAAUGCAUAAUAAUGUGGAUCAAACUCGCCAUUUAUGAAUCGAACUUGAGACUUCUCAUUUAAAUGUGAAAAAAUACCACUAGGUCAUAAUAUUUCACUACGUCAAAUUUUGUCUUUAUGAACUAGCCAAAUCUAAACUGAACGGGAAAUUUUAUUUGAACCCAAAUAUCUUAUCUCUACACCCAACUAACAAGUUUUAUCUACCAAACUUCCAAGUUUACCCUUAAAUAAAUAAGAAUAAGAAAAGAAAAGAAAAGAAAUAUUGGUGUUUUUAUCUCUAGACCCCAUAACUCCAAAAAUGGCACACCAGUGUACUCCUCCAUUAUUUCUGGCAAAACCCACCCAAAUAACAACAAAAUAUUUUCUCGAGUUUAUCAACGAAUCAACUUACUAGAAACCCUCAUCAACCCUCAUUUAUAAUUUCAAUGUAGGUUUUUGGCUGAUAUAUUUGCUUGUUUGAACCAUUAUUUAGGAGUUGGCUACUUGCAUAAAUUAUUAAAACUAACAAGUCAGCUUGCUAGAAACCCUUGUUGCUAUCUCUUCUAAAUAGACACUGACAUGGAAACUUUUUUCUCAUAUUGCAGGAAUUUGUUUCAUGCAACACGGAUUUCUAGCCAACUUACUUGUUGAUGAACUCAGGAGCAUAUUUUGUUGUCAUUUAGGGUGUGUUUAGCGGGAAAUAAUGGAGGAGUGCAAAUGUGUGCCCUUUUUUUGAGUUAUUGGGUGUAGAGAUAAAAACACAAAUGUUUAUUUUCUUUUAUUUUCUUAUUCGUAUUUAUUUAAAGGCAAACUUAAAAGUUUAGUAAAGAAAAUUUUUUAGUUGGGUGUAGAGAUAAAAUAGCUGAGUCCAAAUAAAAUUUCUCAAUGGCCACGUGAUUAUAAUAUCCUUGACCAGGUCAGCGUGGAAGAUGGCAAGGAAACCGCCACGCAUAUUGUGAAGUCAAGAAAAGAGGCCUUAUCAUAAGUUCAUAACACAAGAGAUGGAUCAGUCUUUGACAUUUAUUCUCUCAGCAUCUCAUCCUUUUUAGUAAUCGAACGAUCAUGGAUUCAACGACCAAUGAAGGAGCCUCUUCCUCCUUGUCUUCUUCUUACACCCAGUCAUGGACAUAUGAUGUCUCCCUCAGUUUUAGAGGAGAGGAUACCCGCUAAAAUUUUGUAGGUCAUCUGUACAACAAUUUGGUUCAGAAGGGAAUCAAAACCUUCAUGGACGAUGAGGCGCUUAAAAGAGGAGCGGAAAUAUCAUUGGCGCUUCUCAAAGAAAUUGAGGAUUCGAGGAUUUCUCUCGUUGUCUUCUCCGAAAACUACGCUUCCUCAGAGUGGUGCUUAGAUGAACUCGUUCACAUCUUUCACUGUAAAAAGCAACUGCAGCAGAUGGUUUUUCCAGUUUUUUACAAGGUGGAUCCAUCGGAUGUGAGGAACCAAAGAGAGUUUCGGUAAGGCACUUGCUGACCAUGAAAGCAAACUCAAAGAUAACAUGGACAAGGUGUUGAGAUGGAGAGAAACUCUUACAAAAGCAGCAAAUUUGUCUGGCUGGUCAUUCCUGGCCGACGGGUAUUUUUCUGACCUCUAUGUACUUGCAAACCUAUCAUUCAAAUGUAAAAUAAGUGUAUUAUUUGCUUCAAUUCAUAAGCAUAAUUUGAAGGCUUUUUAGCCAAAAUGGUUUUUCUGAGCAUAACUCUUUAUUUUUUUCUUUAAGAUUUAAAAUCAAUAGAAAUGGUUCUUGAGAUUGUUCAUCGUCAAUCAUUUUGGAUAUUCUGUGAAAAAAAAAUUUCUAUUAAAUUGAGUGUAUUUUUGUCAAAUCAAUCACUCCACUUGAACUGGUGGUUUCUUCAAUUUAGCUGAGAUUUCUCAUAUAAUGACUAAAAUGAUUGACGAUGGACACUCUCAAGAGACACUUCUAUCGAUUUUAAAUUUCACUGACGAAAAUGACGAGUUAUAACAAUUUUAGCAACUAUUUUAGUUAAAAAGACUAACAUAAAUAUAUAAUAUUUGAGAAAUGCUAAGGAGACCCUCUCAAAAUAGAACUCUCUCACAUCUCAUAGUUUAGUGUUAGUUCCCUUGCCAACAUUCUAAAAUAUUGUGACAAAAAGUUCAUGGAGAGUCUCACUUUUGAGAAAUUAUCCUUAGCAUUUUUUUCAUAAUAUUUUGAUAUUAUUCCCUCACAAUUUAUAGGAAAACUUGUUUAAGUUAUUCAUUAUUAGUAUGUGAAGUGAACACAUAUUGGAGAAUAUGAUCCCACAUCGGCCAUAUGAUAACAUAAUAUACCACAAAUAUAUAAGAGUUUGCACUCCUAAUACUAGCAAGAAUUUUUGUAGUAAAAUCUAAUACUGAGUAGUAUGAGAGUUUUUAUGAUUAGUAUUUCACUAUUAUGUGGAAUAUCCAAAUAUUUUUUUUAGUAUGGUCUAAUAUUAUUCAUUUAGUUCAAAAAUAUUUGACUUUCUUUUUCUUGAGUAGAGUUGUCUGUCUACACUUAAAAUAUUGAUUACAUGGAACAUCCACGAAUUUCUUGUAGUUUAAUUAUAAUAAUGUUCUUUUUUAUGCUUUUAAACUUGUAGGCAUGAAUAUAAAUUUAUUCAAAAAAUUGUUGAAGAGAUUUCGGUCCAAGUUUUAGGUAUUACCCAUUUGAACGUGGCAAAGUACCCAUUUGGAAUAGAGUCACGUGUCAAACAAUCCAGUACGGUUUUUUUGGAUCUUGGAUCUGUUCCUGUCCUCGAUCGCGAGCAAUUAGCCCUCCAACUCCGUCAAGGACAAACCGAAGAUCAAAAGCGCCACCAGCACCAUUUCCUCUCCAGUCUCUCCCCCUCACGCCGUUCCUCCGACGCCGCACCGCCCGCAACCACCGCCAAUUUUGAUCAAGACCGAGAUUGGGAUAGAGAGAGAGACCGAGAGAGAGACGGAGAUCGAGAACGCAUUCCUUUAAUGGUGUUGCUUCCGCCCUCGCUUUCUUAGCCGGAAGAUUUGUUAGGAUUCGCUUUCUUAUGUAUGCUGUGUUACUGAUUGGUUUGGCGAUGCAGGCACAAGAUUGCAGGCAGCUGGAAAGUCGGAUAAGGAGGAAGAAGAAGGAUCUGAUAGUUUUGGGAUUCUUAACCGCUUUGAUGGUCAUCAUCGUUAUAGUUAGAGCAAGUCCACCCCUGUGGACUUUGCGCCAACACCCAGCGCAUUUAUCCACUCAAAUGAACAGUAACAGACUCCAAUGAACAGUAAUAGGCCAAGGCAUCUCCACCCCUAAAACUAAAUAGCCUAGUCAAUUUUAUUAAAAUAUUAUUAAUUUUUAUUAUAAAAUAAUAAUUUUUAUUAAAGUACUCUCUGGACUCCAUUCUUCUUUUUCUUCCGUGAUUUUCCAACUGUGCUGUCAAGCACAGUUUCACCACUUUUUCUUCCCUUCUUCUUUUUCUUCUCUUCAAACCACCAAAACCCAUGUGAGAUUUUAGCCAAGUUCGGCCCUACCCCACGAGCCGCAACCACCAAACGAACCCGACGACCCGCAAUCCCACCCAACCCUCCUCCCCCAUCCCCUCACCCAUUGGUGCGCCAACCAAAACUGCAAACCCUUCGCCGUCGAUCCUCUCGAUCCCCGGAGCUCCUCCGAUUGCGACUGGUUCUCCGACGCCGCCUCCGAUUCAGACCAUGACGUCAGCUACUUCGUCACCGAUCUAUUCAAUCGCUGCAGCUCCGAGCAACAGCCCAAGACCGAGAGGGAGAGUUUUGGAUAUGGAAGCUCGAGUUGGGGUGGUGGUGGAAGGAAAGCAGAGAGCUUCGAAUUCAGCUCAAGGAGAUGUGGCGGUAUCGCCUGGCAUCAUGUAGGCCGGGCAAGAGCUCAGCACAUUCUGAGCCGGCCUAGAGACCAGCUUGGGCUGGGUGCCAGCCUAUCUGCUCGGCUGGAAUGGAUUGGCUGGGUGCCGGGCCAAUAAUUUGGCUGGGUGCUGGCCUAAAGGUUCCCCGGUGGAACUGCUCUUAUAGGAGUGGUGGCAGCUUGAUAGGCGUCCGCCUAGCCAAUGGAGGUGGCGAAAAAACGAUAUUUUUUUAUUUUUUAUUUCAUUUUUUCAAUAAAAUCGAAGAGACUUUUGAAUACUUAGAGCAUCUCCAAAAAAUAUGUUAAAUAUAAUAGGUUAAAAUUUUAUUUGAUGGUUGAUGUGAUAAAUUGAAUACAAGUGCUUUUUUUUUUUACCCAAUGAAUGUAUCAAAUAUUUAUUUUAUUAUUUUAUUGGGCCUAAAGUUACAUUAACUAUUAAAAAAUAAUAAAAAAAUAUUGUAGUUUUAUUUUAUUGGUUGUUAAUGAGACCCACGUAUUAAAAAAUUCAAUUAAAUAUAUUUGAUUCCUUCUUUGUUUGUUGUAAAAAAAAGACAGCUAGAAAGUAAACCGAAGAUCAAAAGCGCCACCAGCACCAUUUCCUCUCCAGUCUCUCCCCCUCACGCCGUUCCUCCGACGCCGCACCGCCCGCAACCACCGCUAAUUUUGAUCAAGACCGAGAUUGGGAUAGAGAGAGAGAGAGAGAGACCGAGAGAGAGACGGAGAUCGAGAACGCAUUCCUUUAAUGGCAAGGACGGAGCUACCAUGGGCCUAGGGGCGGAUGCCCCCACUGAGAUUUUUCUGAUGCUGACUCUUUUGCGGGAUUGAUUCUCAGAGGACGAGUACUGUGUGCUGCCUUAUGAUUGCCAUCCUCAUUAUAUGGCAUAGAAUAGAUUGACAUUCGAGCCCAUAUUCAUUGAUUAAUUUUUCCUUUUCCAGAUUAAUCCCUAUCUUCUUCACCCUGAGAUGAAUAUCAUCAGCAGUUCGUUGGUCCUACAAAGCGUCGUGCACCAACAUUUAUCUUGUCUCCACCUUUCGGCUUUCACAUUAAGCUUAUAGUUUGACAAAUGUCCCAGCGAAAGAUAAUUUUCAUCAUGCUGGCAUGCUGCUCAAACUGAUCGGGUUUUGCAGCAGCAGAGGCAGAGCCCCCACUGAUAUUUUUCUGGUUUUGCUCUCCGAUCUGGUUCUGCAAAAGCAGAGCUAGGUUUUAUUUUUUUUUUAAAUCCAGGCCAAAACGACGUCGUUUUGGUCCUGGUAUAAAAAAAAUAGUAAACGAAACGGCGUCGUUUCGUAUAUGUUUGAAAAAAAUAAAAGGUAUGUAUAGUGGGGGACUGCUUGUCCCCACCCGGUCCACCCCCAUUCCAUUAUUUCCAUCUUUCCGUUUCCUUUGCCAAUCAGAGAGCAGCUCUUCACCAAUUCCCCAAAUUCCAAGCAGGCAGCAGCAGAAACGGAACAGAACAGAAGCAACAAAGGUGUUGUUCCCAGGCUCCCAGCCAACCACGCGCAGCCAGCCACUCACCAGCCAGCCGCUCUAGUCGACAUAUAUAUAUUUAGGUAAUUUUUUUAAUUUCUAAAUCUAUAAUCCCUAACCCUAAUUAAUUAUUUAAGAUGAAUUUUUGUUUAAUUGGUAUAGAAAUAUAGAAUCAUAUGGUAAUGCACUAAUAUGGUUAUUGGUUAUUGAUAUGAAUUCUAUGAUUAUUGAUGAAUGAAAUUAUGAAAUUACAAAUUCUAUGAAUAUGGGUAUACAUUUAUUCAUAUGAUUAGUUGAAUUAAAUGUUUAUUUGUUGAAUAAUUUGUAUGUUUAUUGGUAUUGCCAUAUUGGUUAUUGGUUAAUUGAAUUGUUGCCUUGGUUGGAUAUGGAUUAGUUAUUAAGUAUAUUAAUAUAGUAUACUCUAGGAUUAAGAGUCUAAGAAUUUUAUUGAGAUUUUUAUUCUAUAAAUUCUACAAAUUACGUAUGAACCUUAUUUGUUAUUGGUAUCAAUAUGAUUGACUUUGCAGACUGAAACAUCAUGGAGAGGUUUUUUAAAAAAAAAUAUUAGUGCCGCCAUCCCCAGUUAUUGAGAAAAAUUAUGAUACUCAAGGACAAGAUAGUACAUAAUUUAUUUUAUCAAAUCUUCCAUUAGAUCCUGGUAAGCGAAUUCGAAUUUUGGAUUACAAUCCUAAUAUUCGAGAUCAAGUACGAAGAGCGUAUGUGCUAGCUGGUCCUCAACAACCUAAAACCCAUAAUUUUCCUUACAAGAAAUAUGGAGACACGCAAAGACGAUUCAACCCUGCUUGGUUUGAUGAUUUUCCUACUUGGUUGGAAUAUAGUGUAGAAAAAGAUGCUGCCUUUUGUCUGUGUUGCUACCUUUUUAAACCAAACAUUGGAGAACAAGCAGGUGGUGAUUUCCUUGUUGGCGAAGGAUUUUCUAACUGGAAGAAGAAAGAAAGACUUCUAACUUAUAUUGGAGGCGUCAAUAGUGCACACAAUCAAGCAUGGAAUAGUUUUGAAGCUUUAAGGAGUCAAAAGCAACAUAUCCAAUCUUUUUUCUCUAAAACUCAUGAUGAAGCUCGGAUUCAAUAUAGGGCUCGGUUGAAUGCAUCAAUCGAUUGUUGUCGAUUUCUUUUGAGACAAAGACUUGCAUUUCGUGGUAAUGAUGAAUCUGAACAUUCAAGCAAUCAUGGGAACUUUCUUGAGCUUCUACAGUUUCUUGCCAACCAUAAUAAGGAUGUGAAAGCCGUUACUUUGAAAAAUGAUCCGGAGAAUCACUAAUUGACAUCACCAGAUAUUCAAAAAGACAUUGUAAAUGCUUGUGCAACUGAGACCAUCAGGGCUAUUAUUAAAGACAUUGGCACUUCGUUGUUUUCUAUUUUGAUUGAUGAAUCUCGCGACGUAUCAACAAAGGAACAAAUGGCUAUUGUAUUGCGUUAUAUGGACAAGAAUGGGCAUGUCAUUGAGCGCCUUAUUGGCAUUGAGCAUGUUACUAGUACCGCUGCUCUCUCACUCAAGGAAACCAUUGAUGAGGUAUUUUCUAGGCAUAAAUUGAGCAUGUCUAGGUUGCGUGGGCAAGGUUACGAUGGGGCCAGCAAUAUGCAAGGUGAGUUCAAUGGUCUUAAAGCUCUAAUUAUGAAAGAAAAUGGUUGUGCUUAUUAUAUUCAUUGCUUUGCACAUCAACUUCAAUUAGCUCUUGUAGCUGUGGCAAAGAAGAACAUCCAAAUUGAGUCUCUUUUAGUAUAGUUACUAUUUUGGUAAAUGUUGUUGGAGCUUCAUCGAAGCGUUGUGAUCUUCUUCGAGAGAAGCAAUCUAUUGCAGUUAUUGAAGCACUAAACAGUGGUGAGUUUACAAGUGGGAAAGGCAAAAAUCAAGAAACUACUUUGAAACGUGCUGGAGAAACACGUUGGGGUUCACAUUUGGGUACUUUAGUAAGUAUAAUGACUAUGUUUUCAUCCAUACUUGAUGUACUUGAAGUAAUAGCAGAUGAUGGAGUAAGCUCUCAACAAAGAUGUGAAGCGAAUAAUUUAUUGGAUUCCAUGCAAUCAUUUGAUUUUGUGUUUAAUCUACACUUGAUGAAAGAUAUACUAGGAAUAACCAAUGAAUUGUCAAGCAUUGUAAAGGAAGGAUCAGGAUAUUGUAAAUGCCAUGAAGUUGGUUGGAGUUUGUAAGCAAAGGUUGGAGAUAAUGAGGAAAACUGGUUGGGAUUCUUUACUUAGUGAAGUCUCAAAAUUUUGUCUUAAACAUAAUAUUGAUGUGCCUAAUAUGGAUGAUAUGUUUCUUUCUCAAAGGCGAGGGCAACGAAAAGCACAAGCAGUCACAAAUAUGCAUCAUUAUUGUGUUGGGAUAUUUUAUGUUGUUUUGGAUUGGCAGCUCCAAGAACUAAAUAAUCGUUUCAAUGAGACCAACACUGAGUUACUUCUUUGUUUGGCAUGUUUAUGUCCAGCUGACUCCUUCUCUGCUUUUGAUAGCCAAAAGCUAUUGCGUCUUGCCCAGUUUUAUCCUAAAGACUUCUCUUUGAAUGAGCUGGUGAUACUUAAGAUUCAACUUGAGACUUACAUUGUGGAUAUGCGAUCUAGCAUUGAGUUUUCAGGUUUAAAAGACAUUGGAGAUCUUGCAAAGAAAAUGGUUCACUGCAAAAAGCACAAGGUGUAUUCGCUGGUUUACUUGUUUUUGACAUCCAGUUGCUACUGCAACCGUUGAAAGAGCAUUUUCGGCCAUGAAAAUUCUGAAGAAUCGAUUGAGAAAUCGGAUGGGAGAUCAAUGGAUGAAUGAUAACAUGAUUAUUUUUAUAGAGAGAGAGAUAUUUGAUGGUAUUGAUAAUGAUGUUGUCAUGCAACGCUUUCAGAACAUGAAAACGCGUCGAGGGAUAUUGUAAGGGACUGUUGUAUGAAAAACUUUCUGGAUUAAUAUACAAGUAUGUGUUUAGUAAAUUCUUGAGCUUUUUAAUUAUGACUUUAUUAUUUGAUGAUGCCCUCAUUCACACAAAUCUCUGGCUUCGUCCCUGUUUAAUGGUGCUGCUUCCGCCCUCGCUUUCUUAGCCGGAAGAUUUGUUAAGAUUCGCUUUCUUAUGUAUGCUGUGUUACUGAUUGGUUUGGCGAUGCAGGCACAAGAUUGCAGGCAGCUGGAAAGUCAGAUAAGGAGGAAGAAGAAGGAUCUGAUAGUUUUGGGAUUCUUAACCGCUUUGAUGGUCAUCAUCGUUAUAGUUAUAGGAGUGGUGGCAGCUUGAUAGGCGUCCGCCUAGCCAAUGGAGGUGGCGAAAAAACGAUAUUUUUUUAUUUUUUAUUUCAUUUUUUCAAUAAAAUCGAAGAGACUUUUGAAUACUUAGAGCAUCUCCAAAAAAUAUGUUAAAUAUAAUAGGUUAAAAUUUUAUUUGAUGGUUGAUGUGAUAAAUUGAAUACAAGUGCUAUUUUUUUUUUCCCCAAUGAAUGUAUCAAAUAUUUAUUUUAUUAUUUUUUUGGGCCUAGAGUUACAUUAACUAUUAAAAAAUAAUAAAAAAAUAUUGUAGUUUUAUUUUAUUGGUUGUUAAUGAGACCCACGUAUUAAAAAAUUCAAUUCAAUAUAUUUGACUCCUUCUUUGUUUGUUGUAAAAAAAAGACAGCUAGAAAGUAAGGCGUCAAAUGACUCACAUGUCACAUCAUAUAUGGCAUAUCCAUUGGAUAACACCUAAAUGUCUUUUAAUCUUAUUUGACAUCUCCUUUGGAGAUGGUCUUAUAUGAACAUCUAUUAUAAGGUUGUUCUCUUGUUUUCAGUAUGUUCUAAUAUUUUAUAAUUUAUGUCAUUUUAAUUUGCAAUGUAUGUAUCCAAUACAAUUAUGUAUUUUUAAGUAUGCCACGUUAUGUACUAUUUACUUGAUAAUUUGAAUCAAAUCCACACCAUCUCAAAAAAAUUCCAAUCCAUCUCAAUACAUUUGGGUCAAAACUUGGAGUUGCAAAGCACGGCAGACUACAAUUUGAAAAUUACUUUUCAGGUUUUAUAAAUAAAUAAAAAAUCACUUUUCAAUUAAAAAAAAAAACACCUAACCCGAAUCAAAAAAAUUGAACCAAAAUCAAACUUAACCUAAGAAAAUUGAAUGAAUAGUAAUUUCAGUUUGAUUUUCGUUUUGACAAAAAACUGACCGAUUGAAACGGACCCACCCUUUAUGAUAGGUUUGGUUCCUUGUAUAAUGAAUAGGUGACAUGCAUCAAAAUCUACUAUGUUUCAUUUCUUGUAUUUAUGCAACAAAAAGUUCUUCUCCUAUAAUUAAUCAUGUAUAUCAAUUCUUUCUUAGUAAUUCUCAAAACUACAUUUUCAGCCAAGAGUUAAUCAAAUGUGGUAGUUACAUGUAAAGACAGAGAAGACACUUACAUAUUAAUAUUGAACUAAUAUUAAAGCAUUACAACUAGAAUAUUUUCAAGUUAAAUCAUCACUUUAUUGAACCUAAAAGAGAGAGAAGCUAAUAAAUUAGGAAAAGGAAAUUGAUAGCAGGUAUUGUCAAAUCUAUGAAAAAAGGAUAUGGAUACUCUAAGCUUGAGAGGAAUGCAAAGAACAUGCUAAUUAGUCAUUCCCCAUAAAAUUAAUUAAGUUCCUUCAAUUUUAUUAUCAUAAAUUGUUUGCAUGAUUAAUUUAUUAGGUGUGGCUAGUGAUGAAAGAAAGCAUGUUGUUCCUAAUUGGAGGACUAGCAAGGUGUUUAAGAUGCAACAAAUGAGGUGAUGGGUAGAGUCUUGAGAAACUAUGGGGAGGGGAGCAGGAGAAACUAGUUCACGAAAAAGAAAACCCAUUUCUAUUCAAACCCUAAAGCCCAUUUCUAUUCAAACCCUACACCCAAGUCAAAGCCACAACAACCAAACCAAAACCAUUAAACAAUGAAGGAAUUUAACACAAAGUGACAAACAUAUACAUUGGGAUAGCAGAAAAGUCUAAACCCACUUCAAACCCUCAAACACUGACAUUACAAAACAACCCACCGACAAAUUUCACAAGAAAACAACACCCACUUAUCAAACUGAACAAAAGCCAUAUUGGGACCACUAAAAGUAAAGGAGAUUCGAUUUACUAACCAUAUUGUGGAGGCUUUCCAUUUUUUCGAUAUAUUUUUGCAUCGCAAUCAACCUAAAUCACCCUCGCAAACAACCAAAUUCGAAUUAUUCUUGACAAUCCUAUAAUUUAGUCGAAUCUAAUAGGUUUCAUUGAAUCUUAUGUAAAAAAUCCCCAAUAUUUUUUCAAACCCCAAGUCUUACAGUAGAAAAGAAUUUGUAGAAAGUGAAGAAAAGUAAGGGAUUAGGUGGGACCAAGGUAUUAAAUAUCGAUGAUAUCGGAAAUAUCGGUAGUCCGAAAACACGGAAAUAUCAGGAUAUUAUCGAUAUCGAUAAAAAUAAUAUGGAAACCACAGAAAUUGUAAGAAAAACUUGAAAAUUUUUAUUGAAACUUUGCAGGAUGUUUAUUUAGUCAAUUAUCUAUUAGUUUAUCACAAAAAAUUGGAAGGAAAUGCAUUGCAUGAUGGAUUUAACAUUAUCAAGUUGAUUAUAUAACGAGCUGGCAAACAUUGUGAAUGUAGAAAAUAUGUAGUAAUUAAUGAAAGAAGUUUAAACACACCAUAAUCAUUUAUAUAUAAUGAAUUAGUACAAUAUUUUACACUUUAUACAUUGCAUGGUAAAAUACAUGAGUGACUUAGUACCACAUAGAGUUCCUAUGAGGUUCAAAUUUUUCACUAUCUUCAUCAUCUCUAUGUGUAGAGUGAGUGUAUUGUGAAGAGUAGUUAUCAAAUGAUAAAUCCCCAAAAUAGUUUUGCAUGUAAUUGUUAACAUGCCACCCAUAUGGAUCCGAGAUUGGUUGACGUUGUUCAUAAGCAAAAUCAUUUGAAGAUUGAGUCUCGGAUUGUUUCCAUGAGUCGCUCGAUUCCAUUCCAACAUGAAUGGGAUAUGAAGGGUAGGGAAAUGGUUGGUUAUGAGUAUAACCAUAGUUACUACUUCCCACUCCAACAGAGUUUGAAGUUAUAGAUAACGAGUCAUCUUCUUGACUUGACAAAAUCCCCUUACCUCUUUCUCUACGAGUAUAGUCAUUCCCUAUGGCACCAAUUCCUAGUCAUGCCCGCCUACUGCCAUAGUCCUCAUCAUGUGUUGCAUGCGUGAAGUUUGCCUCACCAGUGAAAGGGCUCAUAAAUCCGGGAGGUGGUCCAACAUAGUUUCCAUAUCCACCACCACUACCUCCAGCUCCACUAUAUCCUUCAUCAUUCCCACCUCUGGUGGUAGGUGAGUCUCCUGAUCUUGUACUAGAGCUAUCAUUAGUAUCAGCACGAUAUUGUGGUUGUGUAGGGUUGGAAGAAUGUGGACUUCCAGUGUUUCUUGGUCUUGGGCACAAAAGUUCUUCCAAAGAGUCAGCGCUGCUAGAUCCCACCUCCUCCUCUAAUACUCUUUCUACAUUUAUCCCUUCAUUACGUGCUUCUUCAGCAACUCUGAGAGCUGGGUUGCCUUCAUCAUCAUCUAAAUGAAGAGGUCUAAUCCAAUGAUAAAGUUGGUUACCCUCUGUAUCAUCAUCUUCAGCAAUAAUAUCAAACACAUCUAGUGGGUCACCAUGGUCGACAUGAUCUAUUUUUGCUUCCUUAUCUCGAAUUUGAAGCUUCAUGUUGUAGUAGCAAUAAACUAAUUUUUCCAACCUACUAUGAGCCAACCUAUUUCUUUGCUUUGUGUGUAUGAGUGCAAAUGUGCUCCAAUUUCUUUCACAAGCAGAUGAGGAAGCUGUUUGUGAUAAUACUUUGAUUGCUAACUUUCUCACAGUUGGUGCAUCGGUCCCAUACAUAAUUCACCAUUCAGCUACAAUGAAAAACAAUGUUGAUAAGCCUAAUAACUCCAACAAAUUCUAUUAUAAACUUAUCGUGAAAUAUGUUUACACUCACUAGGAGACAUUUUUGUUCGAGCAGCAACUGAUGUUGGUUCUCCAAAAGUUCUUCUUACAUCUUUAAACCAUGUUAGCUGAAUUCAAUAAAUCGUAUUAGUUUAAUCCAACAAAGUAAUUAUUAUCAUUUAAGUAAUUGUGUACCUUAUUUCCAAAUUGGUCAACUGCUGGUGAUGCAGGGUCUAAUUUAGAGUAUACAUUAUGUAAAGCACGUAUAAGGGUACCAUCAUCUCCAAUACCGGGUUUGUAUUGGUAUCGAGGAUUUAAAUAAUAUAUUGUUCAAAGAACACAUACUCUAAUAAGAGAAAUAAUACUUAUGCAACUAAAGAAAUGAAUUGCAAAUUAUGACAUAAUUUAUACAUGCUGCAUGCAAAUCGUGGUAUAAUGUUUUAUACCAUCGGUCUUCAAUUAUCUUUAUGACCCACCUUGCACCAUGUUUUCUUUCCAAUUCAUCCUUCACUACACACAUCAACUCAUAUAUUGCCCCUACAGUAGGAUACACUUCUGUGUCAACGAUCCGUAAAACUUUGUAAAGAGGUUCAAACACUUGGCACACAUGUUCUGAUUGAGUCUAAAAAGCAUGAUCAAGCAUUAUACUUUCCACCAUACGACCUACAUUUGAGCGGCUCAAAUUGUGGUUAUCCCAAUCGUCACUAGUGAAUAGUUGCUUCAACCCUAUUUUCUUCUUAAAUAGGUUGUCUAAUGCAAUAUAGUUGGUGGUGAAUCGAGUGGUAGCUAGACGAAUAAUGUCUCAUUUGCAAAAUUCACGCAUCUUUGCCAACAACCAACCGUGAUUGUAAAUAUAAUUUGUGAUCGUUCUAGCUCUUUUUACCACAGUAGCAACAUUCUCUCUCUUCCCCAUUGCCUCAAACAUGAGAUCAAUAAAAUGUGUUGCACAUGAUGUCCAAAACACAUUAUGAUGCUUCAUUAACUUUUUUUCAGCUUUGACAAAUGCAGAACCGUUGUCGGUCACGACUUGGACAACAUUAUGCUUUCUUACCUCCAUGAUUACAUCCCUCAAUAAUUUGUAAAUAUACUUGUAGUUCUUUAUAUGGUCUGAAGCAUCAACAGACUUAAAAAAAUGUCUUUCCCUUGGAGUAUACCAUGAAAUUUAUGAUAGACAAUCUGGUCGGGCUAGUCCAUCCGUCACACAUGAUUGUGCAACCAUUAGUUUCCUACUUUGACCUCAACUUGUUAACAUACUCGCCAAUGUCUUUAUACUUCAUAUCCAAAUAUUUGUUUCUUAUCUCAUAGGGAGUGGGAGGUUGUACUUCAACACCGGCCUGUUGACAUCCCACUACCAUAUUUUUGAAAUGAUGUGAUGAUACUUUCUUAGCAGGGACAUUUUCAUAGAUAAAGAACUUGCUAAUUAGACGCCUCAUUCCCUCCUUCACAUUACCUCCAAUGAAAUAACUCCAAACACUCUUUUGACGUGCUUUGGAUGACUUAUAUAAAUUUGGGGCUAUUGGUGGUGUUAGUUGUGAUUCUUUAAGACUGCCUCCCCGUAUCAUUUGUACACCACCACUUGUCCCUGAACCUUGUGCUCUAUUAGGAAUUUUAUGAAGGUGUUCUCUUUCCCAUGUUGAUUGUUUGGAGGCACGUAAUGCUUGUUUCAAACUGCGUCGUUCUUCAAGUCUCAUGCCAUCAUCACAUUCGUCCUCAUCGUCAUCAUCAUCACUGCCAACCGCUUGGCCAAUGACUUCUCCUCGUAGCCCAGCUCGAAUAUUUUCCAUUCCAUGUGUUAUCUUUUCCUUUUGCUGUUUUUUAUUUUUUUAAUAAUGUGCUGAUGAAUGCCUUCACUUCUGGGGGGACAUUAUCGCAUAGUUGGACAUUUUUUGCUGGAUCUAAUCCACUAAGAUGGUACUUAAGUCGUGUCACUCCGCCACUCUUCAUUACCCGACCACAAUAUUUGCAAAUUGUGCCAUGUUUGUUUCCGUCUAUUGGGUCUCCAUGUUCCCAAGCUGGAUCACGUUUAGCAACUCCACUGGACAUCUUAAACGUACCUAUAUUUAUUUUUCAUGAAAAUUAGAUAAUUAUUUUUUGGCCAAAAAAUAUAGUAGUGAUGACGGUUAUAUAAGAGAACCUAAAUAAUAAAGUUAUUCUAGAGAAGAAUUAAAUGAAAAUGAUUGUAAAAAUUUAAGUAAUUAUAAAAAUAAUAUGGAAUAAUAAAACCUAAAUUAAUGAAUAAUAAUCCAAUUUGAUAAAAAAAUAAUCCUUAAUAUAAAAACAUAGUGAUGAAUAAUAAUCCAAUUUGAUAAUAAUCCAAUUUAAUAAUAAUCCAAUUUGAUAAUAAUCCAAUUUAAUGAAUAAUAAUCCAAUUUGAUAAUAAAAAAAAACCUAAUAUUAAUGAAUAAUAAUCUAAUUUGAUAAUAAAACCUAAUAUUAAUAAAAUAAUAAUAACAUUAAACAUAUUAAAAUUAUCCUAGGGAAUAAUUAUACAACAUUACUUAAUUACUUAAAAAAAUUAACAUGUAAUUGUUAACAUUACUUAAUUACUUACAAAAAUUAACAUGCAAGUAUUAAUUACUUAAAAAAAUUAACAUACGAGUCCACACAAAUUUUUUUGUUGUUGUAUAAAUUACAAUAAUAUAAAUAUAAGUUUGUAAACUUACUUUAACUAUGGAACCCUUUGUGUUCAAGCUCUGGAAUGGAUCUGGAAUGGCUUUGAAAGGGGUAAGGGAAGAAGAAGAAACGAAAAUGCUCUGAAUGGCUCUGAUACUCCACCUCUGAGAAUGUGAAAGAAUAUCAUAGACAGUGGCACACGGUUUUGAAUGUGAAAGAAUAUCAUAGACUCAUAGUGGCACACGGUUUCAUUAUGAAAGCACUAUUACUUUUGUCCAUGGUCUGAAAUUGUAAAAAGUGAUUGUAAAAGUUGUCAGGUGAGUCAAAUAACCCAACCACACACACACACAGAGACACGCCACCACACACGCACACAACACAACACACGCACACAGUCCCUCCCUCUCGAUCCUUCUCUCUUCUCUGAGCUCCCUUAUCCCCUUUCUCCAUUCUCCCACACACAUGCACAGAGACCCAAGGUCUCUCGAUCCUUCUCCCACACACACGCACAAAGACCCAAGGUUUCUCGAUCCUUCUCUCACAUCGCCUUCUGCUCCUCCCUCGUUGGCGCCUUCUCUCUCCUUUCUCUCUGCACCGAGGGUCCGAGACCCACAUACACACACGCACACCAUCGCACCUGCUUCAGGAAGACACCCAUCAUCAUCAGCAACCUUGUCUUUCUCCCUCUCCUUCUCAUCUCUGCAACUCGGCGAAUACAGGAACUCUGGCAAGUUUCUUGAAUUUCUCCAGUUAGGUAAGCUUCGGGUUUGCCUCUUUUUGUUCUAGAUUGAAGCUUAUAUGUGAAAUUUAAGUUCAAAAUCGUGUUUUUGCAAGGUUUUUGGGAUGAAAUCGGCUCAGGAAUAGGCACACCCAUCUCCGGCGAGGCCGUGGGUGUCGACGAACUUUCUUAACACCUUCGACCGUUUCACGGAAAACGGAAUUUAUAAAAACAUUCAUCUCGUCUUCUAUUUCAUUUUGAUACCUAGAUCGGAGUCUAGGGUGUUCUUUUGCAGUCGGCCGGAGCUGUAGAAGCUCCGGCGUUUUUCUUCGAUUAGCACAGUUUCAAAAUAUCGCGAUAGUUUUGGAAAUAUCGCGAUAUUAUCGAUAAUAUCGCGAUAUUUUGACGAAAACCCGUUGGAUACCUAUUAAAAUAUCGGUAACGUGAAAAAUCGAUAAUAUCGACGAAAUAUUGCCAAUAUUAUCAGCAUUUGAGACCUUGGGUGGGACAAGUGAAAAAGUGGGAAGGGAGGAAAAGAUUAGUAGGGUAUUAUUGUCAUUUACCAUGAAAAAGUUGUCACAUAUCCUUUUUUAACUUUGAUUUGGAUGGAACACUAAUGGAAGGUCGACAUUGAUUCGCGAGGUUAAAAUUCAGGGACUACACUGAUCGAUUUUCAAUUUCAGAGAACAUCAUGAUUGAUAGGGUCAAUUUCAUAAAUCAUUUGUGAUAAAAACCCAAAUAGAAAAUAACUGAAAGUAUCAUCUGACUAAUCACCACUAAACGGGAAAGUCUGCUUAUGUGGAAGAAUGGUCAAAGUUUUAAAUUUGAAUUCAGGAUUUUUCCUAAAACAUGCCAAUGCCGUGUGUAUGUAUCGCCUAAUUAUGAUAUGACUGUUGGGCCUUCAUUUUCAACUAUCUAUUUUGUCUUGGGUGUGAACUUUUUUCCUUCCGGUCCUUUCCGGUCCUAGUGUAAGUUAAAAAUAGUAAUUCGUUUGUAUUAAAACAACUAUAAAUAAUAGUUCAGUAAAGACUUAUGAUAAAAAUCAAAUUAGGCUAAGCCACACAAUUGAAUGCAUAAUAAUGUGGAUCAAAUUCGCUAUUUAUAAAUCGAACUUGAGAUUUCUCACUUAAAAAUGAAAAAUAAUAUCUCUAGAUCAUAAUACAUCAGUACGUCAAUUUUUGUCUUUAUAAACUAGCCAAAUAAAAAAUGAAUUGGCCUAAUGGAGGUUGUUAAUAGAGAAAUGACUUUACUGAAAUCGGGAAUACAACUUUAAAAGAAGAACAAUUAGAGAAUACUCUCUGCUUACGUAAACUUCAAAAUUCAAAUCCCCCUUUGCUGUCUCUAAUGUUUUGAGUACUUAGAGAACCUAGCCAGCAACCAUAAUAACCACAAUCACAAGUUCCUAGCCCACUAUAGCAUAGUAAAUGACUAUUACUAAAUGACAGCACAAUUCCUAAUUAAAACACCGCGUGCAAGAAAUCAAGUUAGUAAGAAGUAUUCAAUCGAAUUUGAACCAGCCACCAAACUACAUUGAUGGCACUGCAUCAUGGCCACAUGAUUAUAAUUUCCUUGACCUCAGGUCAGCGUGGAAGAUGGCAAGGAAACUACUUCGCAUAUUGUGAAGUCGAGAAAAGAGACCUUAUCAUAAGUUCAUAACACAAGAGAUGGAUCAGUCUUUGACAUUUAAUCUCUCAGCCUCUCAUCAUUUUUAGUAAUCGAACGAUCAUGGAUUCAACGACCAAUGAAGGAGCCUCUUCCUCUUCUUCUUUCACCCAUUCAUGGACAUAUGAUGUCUUCCUUAAUUUUAGAGGAGAGGAUACCCGCUACAAUUUUGUAGGUCAUCUGUACUACAAUUUGGUUCAGAAGGGAAUCAAAACCUUCAUAGACGAUGAGGCGCUUAAAAGAGGAGAGGAAAUAUCGUUGGCGCUUCUCAAAGCAAUCGAGCAGUCGAGGAUUUCUCUUGUUGUCUUCUCCAAAAACUACGCUUCCUCACAGUGGUGCUUAGAUGAACUCAUUCACAUCUUUCACUGUAAAGAACAA
rnacentral:lncRNA from 1 species